UCAACUAUUAAGCUGCGAACAGAAGACACCAAGCGACAGUACAUGCUUUUAAUGAAUACAAUACGGCAAUGAGCACAUUCGGUAGGAGCCAAAGAAAGCAUAAGAACUCUGGGUCCCCAAACUGUUGGGCAGGUCCCCUACGUACGAUUACCUUGCGGGAAUUGAAGCCUUGAUCCGAUGCUCUGAAGAGGGUUCGUUAAUUGAUCUUCCUGCAGUUCUUCCUGAUCUCGCCGUUGGAGCCUGUGAGGGGCUUGAUGUCGCCCAUCUUGAUCAUUCCGGACACGAAGUCUGAGAAGAAGGUGCCGGUGCUGCUGAUGUAGGCCUUGACCAGGGAGUCGGUGGAGUCACUGACGUUGUACAGCUGCUGAUCCGAGUGCAGGAGGCCCUUGAAGCGGACGAGGUUCUUGUAGUAGUUGUUGUCGAAGGCGGUGGGGGUCUGCAGGUCCAGCGGCGCCAGGUUGUUGUCCCCGGAGCCGGAGGCGCUAGGGCAGUUCGCCUGCCUCUUCUUGGCGAAAGAGGCGUCGAUGUUGGUGUCGUUGUAGAUGUGUCCCCGGAAGGACGUGCACCGUGCUAGCCCAAUGGUGUGAGAACCUGGGAACGUAGAAGAAGAAGAAGAACAUGAACAACAGCCCUCGCAUUAAUCUCUGCUAUUUGUUUCAAUAACUAAGUCGUUAAGGAUUCUAAUUCGUCUUUAAGCCAUUGGCGUUCCUUUUAUGGUUGUGGGAGCACAUGCCUUUGCCGGGCAAGAGAAAGAUGACAACAGUCACGAGUGUAGGACCGGGCGAGCCCUGCCGACACACCCCCUGACCUCCACCAGAUACUAAAGCAGAAGCUAACACAACCUAAGAACUUACCUCUCUCCUCCAUAAUUUAUAUCCUUCCUAUGAGUAAGAUGAUUUUAUGAAGCACAAUUCUAUCAGUACGAUGUUUUUUUUUUUUCUUCUUCUUCUUCUUUUGAAUUCAUAAAUCCGCAUUAGUUUGUCGUAAAUUAUAUUACCAAUCUCAAAGCUUAGAUCCAACCCUACUAAUAAUCUAGGUUUCUAAGUUCUACUCCUGGGGUUGUGGCGUUUCCGGUCUCCAAUACUUACCACUGGUCAUUCUUUAGAUUCAAAGACAACCGAAUGAUAAAAGUUGGUCGAUGCUAAUCUAUGAUUCUUGUCUUUUUCUUCCUGAACAAUAGUUGAACCAUUUCGUGCUUUGGCAGCAGAUUCCCGUCUUUUUCUUCAUGAAUUGAAGUUGAAUGGUUCCAUCACUUUAUCGCUUUUCAUGUGCCAAUCGCAAGGUGACAACUCAUGUCUUUGUAAUAAGGGGCACCCUUGAUUUGACACGAUCACCUCUUGCACUGCUGAUGGCACAGAAAAGCGAGUGCAGAUUGAUAUAAUAAUCUGCAGGUAAUGUUAGACGAAUCUAUUGUGUUCGUAUAAUCUGGCAAGUAUGAUGCAUCGAAAGUAAGUGUUCUCUGCAUUGCCAUAGCUUCGAUCCUUACCAGAGAGUGCGACCAUGUCUUUAGUUGAGAGACCCUUGGCCGAGAACUUGGAGAUGAGAUUGCUAAGCGAUGAGGUCGGUGGGGGGAUCUGCUUGUUAGCUUUGGAUAUGCUUGCUCUCCUGGAGUCCCUCCUCCCCAGCUUCACAUCCCAGUUAGGCCCUCCGAGCUGCAAGAUGAGCUCUUCUUCGGUCCAUUAAAAGCUUACUCUAAAUGACAUAUACAGAUAGAACAUCAGCACUACCCACAAUGACUACUGAAUCUCUCGCAGCGACCGCCAAGAUAUCCGCACACGACACCACCCCCGGGCACGCCUUCUCCACCGCAGUCUUGAUUUGGUCUAUGACUUCGAACCCUCUGAUGGAGUUGUUGUUUGGCUUAGCGGUCUUCUCCCCCGUGAAGGUGGGCGUGUCAUCCAGCAGCACCGACCCAUCGCACCCCUGUAUACGUAUAUACAUGCGUACAUGAAACAUAGACAUGCCAGGCAAAGAAGAAGGAGACACAGCUGAUGUUUGCGGGCAAGGGAGGAUUACAAGAACAAAGCAGUCAUGGAAGAAGAGGCGAAGGACGGAUGCACCCAACCGCUUCUCUUUCGAGAUUGCAGACUGGACAACGGGUUUCACCGUGCUAAACAGCUUGGGGCACGACGAGGAAUAGAAGCUGGUGGAUAGCUGCGCAGAGGUGCCGCCGAGAAGGAGAAGUAGAACCAAGGCUGCAGAGGCAAAGACCGUGGAAGAGGAAGCCAUCGGAGCGCAGAGAGUUCCUGUGAUGGCCAGGCCACCACAUGUAUCAUUAGGUCGACAUAUAUAGGAGGGGUGCCCGAGUGGGUGUUGCUGUCGUGACGGCUGCAUCGUAAACCUACAGCGUUGGGAUGGUUUGCAUGGCACCAAAUGACAGCGUAGGUGUGGCAGAUGAAUUACCAGUGCCGGAGGGGAAAAGGACAGAGCUAUUAUUGUGUGACACAUCUUCGACAUGGAAAGAUCAUAGUGAGCUUAUUGCCUAAAUAUCAAGAAAACAGAUACGAUUAAGCUUUCUGUCACUCCCCACCCCUGAAAUUACAUUAUUAUUAUUAUUUUCGUCGUAGUAAUUCUUUUCUUGGAAGUCAAAGUGUAUUUAUUUAUUGAACGGUUAAACCCAUAGGCGUCCUGUGACUCGAGCACAUAUCACCUCAUCUUCCCUAACUUUUGCUUUCUCUCAGAAGGAAAAGUGACUAAAGGUGAAUCCACAGGCUUCAUGUGACUCAAAAAGAUGAGUCUUUCGUUCAUCUCCUUAGGAAGGAAUUCAAAUUAGAUGCAUUAAAUUAUUGAGAUUAAAUCACUGAUCCAUUUAAUAAUUGUUUAAUAUAUUUUAAGUAGCGAGUCAAUGACCCACAUGUCAAUGUCAGCUAUCUAACAAUCCAACCUGUCGGUUCUCUGUAGACCGGAAUCAAUUACACCGAUGCUCAAAUUAAUAAUAAUAAUUUAUCAGACUCUUAUAAGUCAAUUCAUAUUUUUUUUCAAAUACUCUAUCGAUCAUGUGUUGCGUUUACUAUAUUUUUUAUUGUAGGAAUAAAAAGGCAACAAUUAUUCUUUUUUCUUUAAGCGUUAUAGUGGGUUAGUGGUUCUAAAAGAAAUAAUACAUUAAUUAAAACCAAUAGAUUGUCUAUGAUAUGGAACCUUGACACAUGAAGCUAUGUGACAUAUGAGCUAACCGAGUGCAAAAGUAAAAGUUGCCAUCAAUCAUUUAAGUUGGUGUGUGAUGCAAUCUACAUGGGGUCAACCAUAUCUUUCUUGCCUUCCCCAGUGCAUGGCAUUUCCUUGUAGGUAGCCAUGUCAAGCCAGAAGCUGCUCCACUGCCAACACAUUAUUAUGCUUGUGUUCUCAUCAAGUUCACAACAGCAAAGCAGUAGGGACGAAUGCCGGUUGUCAUUUUCUUGCGUCGAAGUCUUAUCAACUAUAUUAAACCAUGUUAUUUUCAUGCCAAAAACAAGAAAAAGUAGAGAAAGCCGAUCCAAAAUUAAAGACCAAAAUUAAGAAAAAGUGGAGAGUCACACGGCUAUUAUGCCACCGAAAAUGACAAAAAGCCAAUUCAUGAAUAUGUCACGUUGAUUAAAUUAUAAUAAAUAAUAAAUAAUAUUUCUUUGACCACUAACAACUAAAGAAGGAUGUUCGAUGGAUGACAUGAGAAAUUUUUUCAACAUCAAUCUUCGUACAAACGGAGGUUAAACAUCACAUCACAUCACACACGAUCGUAACUUUAAAUAUGACUAAUUAUAGAUUAUCCUUUGUAAUUAACUUUUAAAAGUUAUAUUAAAAUACAAAUGUAAAAUAUUUAAAACUCCUUUCUCUUUUUUAUUUUUAAUCCUAUAAAAUUAUCUCAAUGUUUUACUUUCAUAAGUAUAAUAUCUUAAGGAUUGAAAUACUAAAAAUAACUAAUUAACUCUUUUGAACAACACUAGUUCUCCAAAUGGAGGGUUAGAGUCGGUCGUCAUGGAGUUGAACAAGAUAAGAUGUAAAGUAAAUAAUUAUGGGCGAAUUUUUGAGAAAAUUCUUUUUUUUUUCUUUCAAAAAUAUCUAAUUUUCUAAUGAUAUUUUUUAAUAAAUAAAAUACCUUCAGUCACUUAUUCUCUCAUAUUUUUUUUUCAUUUUUUUCUAUGGACGAUUCAAUUACAGUAUUUUUAUAUUAUAUUAAUAUUAUCAAUAAUAGUGGAAAAACAUUAACCAUUCCACUCGGGAGACAUCCACAUGCAUCCGUUGGACGCUCCCAUCAAUCAUGUAUGUUCCCAUGUGGUGGAGCCAAUUUGGUCCAUCGAGCAUCCCGAAGACGACGUAUUAGCAUCGAUUGCUGCGGGGCCAUGUCAUGUACUAACCUUUGACAUUGGGAUCGAUCGUCAACAUCACCUUUCACCUAUGCAAACCAGCCGUCGGACAGAGAAAAGCCACGCAACAUCUGAGUUCUCACAUGCAAUCUUCUUUCUCUCGUUGAUUCUACCGGAGUGAUUUUUUGGGUAUUGUUUUUGCUGAUCUCGUUGUGGCAUUUCGACAAGCAGGUUGAUGUUGCUGCCCUGGCCCCUCCGACACGGACGUCUGUUCGAUUCCGAAGGUCUUGGCUCCACUGCCUCUGAAGGUAUACGCAAAACGAAGAUAGAACGCAUCUUUUCCCCUCCAUGCUCAAAACUAACUUCGUAAUCUUGUCGGCAUCUUUAUGUUCAACGCAUGCUUGGCUACUUGCAUUAGGAGCUUGCUGUUCUUAAUGAAAUAAGUGAUGUCAAAGGAUUAACCAUGUCGGGCAGUUACUUUGGUUGUUGCAAAUGAACUCUUCCACUCUUGAAUGCAUUAUUUUCAUGUUUUCUUGCAUUUGAUGGUACAUUUGCUGCUCCAAAACCAAUUAUGGUCGCCACCAACCCAUAGAUGCACCUCUGUGCUGCGAGGGAGACUUUGAACGUUCGACGGUGCAGAUACUCUGCUACUGCUUGCUUUUUCGUUGUGUUAUUUUUCACCAAAGGUUCUGGAUUGACAAGAUGCUUUCAACUUUGAAAUAGAUCUGAUGAGUGAUCUCUUGAUCAUGAGAAGUCUCAAACAAUCAAGUCAUAUAUGUAAUGAACAUAAAUUCCUGAUCCUAAUUCUACUCAUUGUUGGCUGUUAUCCUGUGCGAGGUAUUUCGAUUGAAAUUCAACUUGUCAAGAUAUUUUUUGUUUUAGUACUUAAAAGAAUAUCUUUGUGAAUCUUUUGUAGAUAUUUGUUGCUAGUAUUUCUUCCUUGAUAGUGCAUUUACCCUAAAGAAAAGGAGGAACCUUUUUUUGUUCUUGUUGGUGCUCAUUCUAUUGUGGUGCAGAUGAUAUUUACACUCUCUACUGCUCUUAUAACUCUUAUUGCUCUGUACUCAUGGAAAUAUACGACAGAUUUCAUAUCUAUAUCCCCAAGGAGUUUCAAGAUAGAAUCCUGUCUUAUAAACAGUUGAUGUGGGUUUAACGUACAUAGUUUUGUUUGUAUACCUAAUGAUGUUCGAUAACAUUUCCUGCUUUGGAAUUAGUCAAUCUUUCGUCUCGCAUUAGUUUCUUGGAACCUGUUUGUGUGACUGCAAUUUAGUCUUGUGCUUUGGUUGUAAAUGUGGAGGAUAUCUGUCUUAGUGUACGGUUGUGCUCCUAAUGUUGUCAUAUUUCUGUUUCUUCAUAUGUAUAUUUCAUUUUGCUAUUGAAGUAUCAAUUUGGCAUUAUUGUAUUUCUUUACUUCGAGUCUUGCAUUAUAUUGGCUCAUAUCUAUUGACAUAUCCAUUUUUCAAUGUCAUGCAUGGCUUCUUAGAUAUGAGUCGUUUGUUACUAGUGAGUUUUACAUUAGCAAAUGUCUACUGAUAAAACUUGGGCCUUGCAAGCAUAUUAGGCAAAAAAACUUAGAGAAGUUUGCUGCCUAUCAAGUCUUGAAAGGGCCCGUUUGCCUCUCUUAUACUGGAUCUUGUAAGUGAAUCCUGUUUAAUCUUCUAAUGUCUUAUGCAUGUCAUAUGCUAUCUACCAUAUUUUAGCAUCAUGUCUACCUUACAGCAUUCCUAAAUUGUUCACCUUUUGCAACAAUCUUCUCCUUACCAAUCGAGAUUCCUUUUCUUAGGAACCAUGAACUUGAUCUCUACUUCCUUGCUCAGAAAUUGUUGAAGCUCAGACACAGUUCAACUUCAGUCCCUUGCAGUUUAGGACUCUGUAAACUUAGUCGACAAGUUAACUAACCUAAUAUUUCCUAUAUUUUGCCACAACAUGCUAGAAUUAUCACGCCGACACGUUUGAUGUUGAAGUCUAAUGUAAUACUUUGGUUUUCAUAUUGCGUAAUCAUAUUUAGAUGUGCUUCGAGUGUAACACCAUUUUCAUGAAUGAUUAGGUGCAUGAAGCUUGCAGAAGUUUCAUCAUUUUCAUUUUUUCACAGUUAUAUAAGAUAUCAUAUGCAUUUUUCCUUUGUAAGUUUUCUUAACAAAACAUUAUAAAAACAGACGUUUAGGUGAUGCAGGUUUUGUUCUGGAUCUUGAAUAAAUUUGUCAUUGACUCGAAAUCAAAAUCCACUACAAGAGCUGUAAUCUUGGUAAGAUUCUGUAUAUGUUAAUCUGCAAACAUUCUUGAAGUGUGUUAAUGUGACCCUCAAACUCAACUACAGUAUAUAGAAACUUACAAACAAAAGAUCUGAGAUACAGCAUUGAUAUGUAAAAUAAUGUUUUAGUAUCAACACAAGGUUGAUCAAGUUCUACCUUCUUUAGUUAAUAGAAUUAACAUACAAUUGUUUUCCCUAUUGACAUCUACAAUGACUAUCAAUGUAGAUGUUUCUGACAAUAACUCUGGAGCAACAGAGUCCAGUUACUAUAUGAAUCUCUUGUUAGAAGAAAGUUUAGUAAAAUUAUUUAUGGCAAUCUAAAGAUUGAAAUUUUCAAUCAAUGUAUAUCUCUUUGCAUAAUAUUGAUGACAUGAUAUGUAUGAAGCCUUCCACGAUGUGCAUAUCUCUUUGCAUACUUGUCAAACCUUGUUUUUCAGAUUUAUUUAAUGAAGAUAGAAAUGAGCUUCUAAUCAUUCCAUGGUGGUGGAAACUCAUUCAUGAUUAUGGACAAGGUAUUCUGAUCCUUCUUGUUGUCUCUGCUAAUUCUAUUACACUGGCCUAAUGCCUUGAACUUGUUUCAGAGCCCAAGGGAUUGUCAUAGACAGAGAAGAGUGAGCGAAAAUAAGAUAAAUGGAGAAGAAAACCUUGUGAAGCUUCGAAAGUUGAGUUUUUCCAAUUGGUUUUGAUUAGCUUAAAUCUCAAUCGUAUUCUUUAUGAAGUUAAAUGCAGGGCUGCUUAUCCAUAUGGCUUCGGAGCUGCUUAUACAACAUGAUUAUUUCAUCUGUCCUCUAAAUUAUUAAGAUCAAUCUGUUGUGACUUUGAAGCACUUGUCUGGGAACAUUAAAAUUGGGAAUUAGUGCCUCAUUUUAAUUUUUAUUUAGGAAACUCUAUGAUAAAAAAAGUCGACUAUAGAUGGUUACAGAGAACCGAGAUUAACAUCUGUCGUGUUUGUCAUGGUUGAUGAAGAGAAGUUUGAGAUUUACAUAAUGAACAAGUUUGAGAUCAAUAUAUGUCAUGUUUGUCAAUAAAUAAUUAUUUCUAGGGUUAGCCCAAUAGAGUCGCUACUUUGGAAUCUCAAAGGGUGGAAAGGUUCCAUAGAUAAUCUUUUUUUUGUUUUAAGUCAGAAAAUUUAUUAUGUGAUUUUGAUAAGGGAUAUAUAAAUAGUAAAAGAUAACAGAGUGACUAUUCUUAUCACCUUUGUUUUCUCCUUAUUUUUUUUUCUUUUUUCUCAUUUCUCAUAUCAUAUAGAGAUAUAAAUUGGAUGGUGUCAAUAUAUUAUCAUAACAAUAUAUUGUCAGAGUGUGUCUCAAAUCUUUAAUAUAUUUAUAUUAAUUUGCUCUGAAUGAUUAACCUUUUUUUGGUAUCACACACUAAAAUAGCAAGUUUAUAAUAUGAGAGAAUGUGUCGGAAUGAUUCAAGUUCGAUCUUAUAUAGAAUAAAUAUUUCAAUGUUUAUUAUUAGAAUAAUAUAUUGAAAUCGAGGUGCUAUUCCGAGAUAAAAUAUUAUUAACCUAAGAAUGUCAAUAUGGAUAUAUCGACGAUAGAAUACCAUGUAAAUACCGAUGUGAUCACAUGUUAUUAACAUAUGAUAUUAACAUGUAAAUAUGGUGGACUUGGAUUUGGAUUUGGGUAACUUACGAUGGAGUGGUAGUGGCAAACCCCUCGAGAAGUGAAUGGGUGGAUCGGUGCGUGGCCAUGCCAAUGAUUAGGGUGGUCGAGCAGACUCGUGAAUGGAAUAAGGGUACGUGCAUGGUUUGUCCCUAAUGGCAUGCAGACAACCUAGUAAGCCACAAUGGUGUGAGAGUCAUCACCACAACCAUCCAACCACUGUACGUAUUGCUAUCCUCCACCUCCCACUGAGCUGUCAUCGACGUUGUAUCACGGCGAUGUCACGAGAUGCGGUCUGUCUCAACAUUUUGGUGUCACUAUCCAUCCAUAUACAUAUACAUAUAUAAAUAUACACAAACAUGUACGCGCAUCAAUGUAUGUGCUAUGACACACGGUUGGGAGAAAUGUUUACCUCUCUUCUGGGCUUGACACAUGUCCAUCCCGUCAGCAUAAGGUGGUCAAGACCUUCGGUCAUCAUUAGGUUAUGUCAAUAUUUAUCGAAUAUAAAAGAUUCAAAAAAUAUUCCUUCACUCGGUAAAAUAUUUUAAUAGGUUAAAUCAGAUAUAUAUAAAAGGCAAACCAAACCUUAAUAAAUGGAGGUCAUAUAAUAUUCACCCUUGUCUCCUAUUUCAACCAAGAGCUUCUCGGUUGUAUAAAUAAAAUAGAAAAAAGAAACUUUAUUAAAAAAGCUUUAUUAAAGAAGAAUACAUUAACAUGUUCCUCUCCUGUUUAUACAGAAUUGGAGGGAGGAUUUUUCAAACAGAAUAGAGGAUUUCUCUCAAUAAAGUAGAGAGAUUUCCUCUCAUAUAGUUGAGGAAAUCUUAUCUGCUAUCAGUAUCAUAAAAACACUUUUUUGCAUAUAGAUCCAAAUCAAGUCAAAUUGAUUUUAUUAUCAUCGAUUGAUAGAAGAUCAUGAUGGAAGCAGAAUAAUAUCUUGUAUUUCUUAUAUCCUCAAUAAAUCUAUGAUUUGAGGAUCAAUUAUAGAUUUAAAUGUGAUUGAGUAAUUUAAGUGCAUGAUCAAGGAAAACUCAAAUUUUGUAUAAAUACUUAUUAUCUCAAUGAAUAAAAUUGCUCCUCUUCGUAAUAACUUUUAUUCUACAUGGUAUCAGAGUUUUCUUGCUUUAAGCACGAAUGACUUCCUUCCUCCUUCGUGACCCACUCUCAGAGCCCAAGCAAGAGCCCUCCUCAAUCACUACUCCACCCUGAUUGCUACAAUCACCCUUUCGCGACCUGCAUGAUAGAGUUGAUCAGUCCUUCGACGAUGCAGAUAUGAUCUGCUACCUCUACUGAUGUUGAUUUGAUCCAAGCUUCCGAUGAUUGUUCCCCUCUCCAUUGCUAAUCUAAUUAGUCAUCCACCUCGCUGAUCUAACCAGUCCUUUGGCAAUCUACAAUAGAUCAUUCCUCGCUUCGACAACAUAUCUCAAUGAGCCCUCCUUCAAUGUAGGUCUCAGCCAAAGAAGUAACCACCCCACUCUCCAUCAUUGAAUCACUCAAAUUAUAUGAUGAUAGCCCUACUAUGGAUCCUACAUAGUAUCGACAAGUACUUUGUUCCUCAUAGUAAUUAUCUCUUACAUGUCCAGAUAUCUUGUUUGUAGUUAAUAAAUUAUCAUAAUUUAUGUAUGGACCCUCUAUUAUAUAUUAGUUUACACUAAAACGUAUUAUGUGGUUUCUUAAAGACACUCUCAUGAACUUUUUCUACAUAAAUACUCUUCACUUCAUCUUCAUGCUUUCAUCGACACUGAUUGGGCAAACAAUACUGAUGAUAGAAUAUUUACGUCAACAUAUACUCUAACUCACAAUCUGAGCAGAUAAGUACUAAUGCUAAUUAUAUGUAAAAUAUAAAAAUUAUAAUAGAUGACUUGACUUUAAUAGGUUAUCCUCUAAGUGAUGAAAAAGUUAUUGUCUAUACUCUCAAUAGCCUAGGAGAUAAAUAUAAGGAACUUACGAUAGUAAUUCUGGCAAGAGACUCACUUAUGUCAUUUGAAGAAUAGUAUAACAAGUUAAUUGAUAAUGAAACAUAUCUAAAAAAAGAAGAGAGGAUGAUAUAACUAAUUAUCACAACUUAAGUCGGUCAACAUUUUAAAAGAAUUAAUAAUCAAAGUAAUAAAAACUUCAACAAAGGAUCCAAUAAGAUGCCUGAUAUACACAUGGGUAAUAUGCAGAGCCAUCAUCCUCCAUUACACUAUCAAUCCUUCAAUAGUGGUGAUAACUUUAAUCCAAAUAACUUAGGAAAUAUCUUACACUAUAAGUAUCAAUUGCACUUUUACUGAAUCACUCAAAUUAUAUGAUGACAACCCUAUGAUGGAUCCCACACAGUACCGACAAGUAUUUGGCUCCUUACAGGACUUAUAUCUUACAUAUCUAGAUAUUUCAUUUAUAGUCAAUAAAUUAUCAUGUGCAUUAAUUUUCUACUAUGCAUUGUCUAUAGUAAAACAAGUUCUGCGGUAUCUAAAGGGGACUCUCGAUCAUAGAUUUUUUUUUCGUAAACACUCAUCACUUCAUCUCUAUACCUUCGUCGAUGCUAAUUGGAUAUAUAACAUUGAUAAUAAAAUAUCUACAUCAACCGAUAUUAUCUUUCUUGGAGUAAAUCUAAUCAGUUAGAGUUUAAAAAAAUAGAAAACAGUUACAAAAUCCAUAAUUGAAGUUGAAUAUCAAGUCAUCGCUACCAUCGCUACAGAACUCAACUGGGUCACUAAUCGAUUAUAGAAAUUUGACACCACCUUCAAAUCCACUCCUAUAAUAUAUUGUAAAAUGUCAGUGUCACCUACCAUUACGCCAAUCCUUUGUUUCACUCAUGCAUGAAAUACAUUGCUAUUGACUUCCACUUCGUUAGAGAACAAAUUGUUAAAUAUUAACUAUGUAUUUCUCACAUACAUACAUUUGAUUAACUAGUAAACUCCCUCACAAAGCUCAAUUGCUCAUAAGAUAUUUCAAUUAUAUUGAUCUAAGAUUGAUAUCUUUGAAAAAAACUAAUAACAUGAUAGAAGAUCAUAAUAGAGACAAACAUGGAAUAAUAUUCUUUUCAUAUUAUAUUCCUCACUUCUAUAUAAAUCUAAUCAAUUGGAGUUUCAAGAAACAAAACAUAAUCGCAAAAUCUACCACUGAAGCUGAAUACCGAGUCAUAGCUACCACUACUACAGAAUUCAACUAGGUCACCAAUCUACUACACGAACUUGGCAUCAUCUCUCAAUCUACUCCUAUAAUAUACUAUGAUAAUAUUAGUGUCACUUACCUAUACGCUAAUCCGGUGUUCUACUCAUGCAUAAAAAAUAUUAUCAUCGACUUUCACUUCGUUAGAGAUCAAGUUAUCAGAUAUCAACUAUGUGUUUUUCACGUUCAUGCUUUUGAUCAAUUAACAGACUCCCUCAUAAAUUUUUUUCGCUCCAAAGACACUUUGAUUACAUCUUUCCAAUAUCAAUAUUUUUGAUGGAAGCUCAAUUUUACGGGCAUGAUAAAAGAUCAUAAUAAAAUCAAAUACGAAAUAACAUCUUUACAAUUUUUUACAUCCUCAAAUAAUCUAUAAUUUGAUGAUUAAUUAUAAAUUUAAAUAAUUAAUAUGAUCGAACAAUUUAAGUAUAUGAUUAAGAAAAACCUUUCAAUCAAACUCGGUAUAAAUAAGUAUCAUCCAAUAAAAUUAUUCCUCUUCAGAAUAACUUUUUUCCAUUCUACACCGACAUCCUCCGUAUCAUCGUGCUAAACACUUAUACUCUGCUCUUCACUUGGAGGAUGGAGGAGUAGUACAUCUGCCAGAGAGUCUGAAUCUUGUGGGUGGGAGACAGAAGCCAUAAUACGUUGCAAACAUCAGCCAACUAAUUAGAAUAGUUUUAUGAUUCAUACUCUGUCAUGCAUUUUUAUUGCUAGCUGGACUUCAGCAUCGUCUAAGAUUAAAUUAUUUGCAGAAUAAAAUGCGUGGGAUAAAUCCAUCUUUCCCAUCCAUUGUGUUCAACCCAACCUACAAAAUCCAACAUAUGUACAACAAUUAGGUGAACUGUCUAAUACAGAAUAGUUCAACCUAUCAUCCUCACUUCCAACUCCUGCCAAGUCGAAGCUGAUGAAUGAAUGAAUGAAGUCGAUAAGGGUAUACCCGUGAGGGAUGUUUGGAGGCAUUCACAACUCAGAGUGGCAAAGAAGAUCCAAAUCAGAACACGCGUCGCAUUGGCACACCCAAACAGCUCCCCCUCGACGCUUUCCUUUCCGCCUCUAUCACGAGCACCUCACUUCAGAUUCCUCUCCCUCUUUCCGCGUUACCCCACUCUCCUACUUUUAACUCUCCCUUAGCAUUUGGUUCCAAGUUUCUGCUUGCUCUUUGUGCAUGCAUAUGCAUGAAGCAGUACUUCACUAGCACUACGAGCUCCAUCGCUACAGCACGCCAGCAUCGUUCGUCUCACUCACGGUACCGACUCUAAGAAGACUGCCGGUAAACCGAUGCUAUGUGAAUGUUUGUAAGCGAAAGGACCAUCAUGUAGUGGUGGGAAUGGGUUUCGUGAGUCAUAAUUGGGCUUCAAUUAUUGCAGCUGGUGCAUCUCCGUUCCCAGUGGGCCAAGCAGUCAGCAGUUUGAUGGGGAAUGCGAUGUUGACCUCACUGACACUUUGUGCUGGCUAUCCAUUAUUACGUGGGAGCUCAUCCCAUGCUUUCUCAGGUAACAGCAAGACUGCAUGCGUGAUGUAACAAAAUAAUGAUUGGAUUGUUAGCUAAUAUUGCAAUUCAUCCCCGCGAAAGGUUUCUAUCAGCAAUGAUGUUUGUCCUUCUGUAACAGCUGACGUAGGCAAAGUAAUCUACGAUACCUCAACAUCGUGUCGGACUUGCCCUAUUAUAUUCUAUCGAAGCUACUCCUCCAGGCGUUUCCGGAAGAGGCCGGAGGAAGGGAAGCGCGGGGGUGGAACAAAGAAAGAUGACAUCCAGAGAUCAAAAGAAGGCUGUCUUGCAUGAGAAGCUGCAGCUGCUUCGAUCUGUCACCAACUCCAGCGCAGUAAUACGCUUAAUUUUCUCGAUAAUUGUUGUAUCUUGUUGAUGUAUUUGUGCUGCUGCAUCUCCACCAUGUUUGAAAGUCCUCCUACCAUUUUCUGACUCCUUAUUUCGCACUGUAAUUUAUCGAAUGACAUCCGAUUGUUCUCUUCCAUUUGCAAGCUGCAAAACCUACUGUCAUCCUAUAGUUCCUUACUGCUAACUUCUGACAUGGUCCCUUUUCCAUCCUCCUCUUCUAUUAGAGCAUGGAGUGGAUGGAAACCCAUACGAGUCGAUCGAUCCAAAUGUAUCGAACUCAUUUAUGCCAUCUAGACCAAGAACUGCAAUUAAUUUGAGAAUAAUUGGAAGCACAAACAAAUUACUUCAACAUCUAAACUCUACAGUUAUCCUUUAAAAGGUACCUUAGUACUGAUCGCAGAUACUGUCGUUCUUUUAUUCUCAGAUUUCAUGUACUUGUGGUAUUACACUUUGCCGCAUCAUCUAACGCUCUCCCCGUACGUAGCUAAGCAAAGCUUCUAUUAUAGUGGACGCGUCAAAAUACAUCCAAGAGCUGAAGCAAAAGGUGGAAGCAUGCAAACCAGAUCUCGCGGAGGAAAGCUCCCUCCCCAUGGUACUCUCCGGUAGUAGGCUAUAUGAACCUGGAAGAACUCACGGUUGGCCUGGUUUCACUUCUCUACAAUAUCCCUGCAGGUUACUGUCGAAACCCUAGAAAAGGGUUUCUGGAUCAAUGUAUUCUCCGACAAGAACUGCCCGGGCAUGCUUGUCUCCGUUCUUCAGGCAUUCCAGGAACUUGGUCUUGAUGUGCUGGAUGCAACCAUCUCCUCCGCCGACUCAUUUCGUCUUGAAGCUGUUGGAGGAGAAGUAAGCAGAUAAAUUCCAUCACCAGACCUCUAGUAUACUCCACACAUGAGCAUGCUAAUGCAUCUCUCAUCCUCAUAUAUAAUAAUACACAAGUGACUAAGGUGACCAAUGUUCAAGCUGUGCUCCUCCAGUAAUGAUCUACACAUAGACACUGUGCUCUCUCGCUACAUGCAUAAACGCAUUCAUUGAUAUGUCUGCUUGUGUACUAUAUGUUUGAUGUAGCUUUCUUCUCCUGCAUAAUUAUGUGUAUCUACAGAGGUGUGCAGACCACACUGCUCCUUUCGAUAUAUAAGAAGGUUUCCACACUCUUACAUGCAUUAACAUGUAUAAGAACAAGAUACAUGGCAUCAAGUCCAAAAGAAUUGGUCAUUGUGCAUAGUCCUACUGCAAACUAUAUCUCUAAGUGGAGAUAGGAUCUAUAUUAGGGUUUAUCAUGUCCCAAUUUUGUUUGAGUGAUGUUUAGUUACGUUCGAUAUCGACAUGAAACAAUACUUCACAUUUGACUUAUAAUUGGUAUAUGUAUAUAUAUCAUAUAUUGUCUUAAAACAAAGCAUAUGGAGAAAGAAACUCCGAAGCGCAUGCAUUAUUAAUUUGCGUAUAAUGUGAAAAAUACAAGAAUAAUGAUAGAGGUCGAAUUCUGCAUAGUGAGUGAACCAUUGAGAAUUCAAUGCUGAAUUCUGAGAUUUCAUUUCAAAUGGCAUUCAUCCUUCUCUUUUUCUUCUAGCAGCCGCAGAAUGAGAGCGUGGAUGCACAGAUGGUGAGGCAAGUGGUGGUGCAAGCUAUUAAGAAGUGUAUGGGAAGUUAAAGCAACGAGCAAAACCAGAAGGAGAAUGGAGGAGCAAAAGGGUCUCUAAAAGAUGGGAGAAAAAUAGUAGAACAGAAUUGUGCAGCUUUCUCCAAAGUGCAAGCGAGCAUAUAAAUUGUCUCUAUUGUUUUCUGUCAUUCUGCCUUCCAAUAUCUGCAACCAAAAAAAGCAGUCUUUUGCUGUCUCAAAGGACACAUAUAAUGAUGGAUUUGUGUAUAUAAAUAAGUAGAUAGCAGAAAUAAUUAAUUACUAAUAUUUUAUGCAAUAUCGGAUGCUUGGUUUUUGUUCUGACAUCCUAAUUCAUAUUGUCCUGAUUUAAUACUUUUAAUGCGAUAUAUGUAGUUAUUAAAAAAUAUUCAUGUGUAAGAUAAAAAUAGUAAAUAGUUAAAGAAAAUAUAAUUAACAUGAAAAUAAGAAAGCAUUAAAAACUUAAAUUUAUGGAUCAAAUUUAAUACAUGUCAUCUGACUCCUCUAAAUCCUUUUUCGAUGUUCACACAAACUGAAUGGCAAAAAGGUUUUCGUAGAUAUCGAUUUUGCCGAGUCAGUUUUGAAUCACAAUUAACCAUUAUCACGAUACAGUUUCGAUUCUCCAUGUUUGAUAGGCUCUCCCUGUAACAUUUGCAACAAAUUUGUUUAGAGAUUUUAUACCUGGUAUUUGGCACAUCAUGCUAUUUAAGCUCUAAUUAAAGAUGCUGCCCAAUGUACUCCUAAUGUACUAAGAUCACAUACAUGCUAAAGCAUGAUAAUGGCCUUUAUUUAUGUCGUCAAAUGUCCGCAUACGUGUGGGUAAGCAAAGCAGGAACCAAAAGUUAUACAUUUAUGAUUAAAUUAAAAAAAUAAACUAAUUUUUCGAUUGUGCACCUCUGAGAUUACGAAGGAGUUGAUUCAUAAUUGAUCAAAGUUUGGGGUUAGAAAGUUAAACAUCAAUCAAGAUCAUUGAUGGAGUCCAACAGAGCAUCGAUAUCCGGGGUCACCACCGCACGCCUGUCGAUCUCCCCGAGUACACAACAGCGCUUGUCUUUAGUAUUAAUAGCUACGACAUCUUGAGCGAAUGAACCGCAUAAACCAUGAGAAACCUGCAAAGAAGAAAUUGAAUCCUAAUUAGCAAGCAGGGCUAACAUAUCAGCUGCUUAGAAAAGAAUACAAGCAACAAAAAAUGCAACUCACAUCAAACAGUGUAUCUCCUAGCUUCAUCUUGACUUUCCCACUCUUGUAGACCAAUAGUUUACCCAUAAACCCCGGUGGCAGCUCCUCCAAUUUGCAGCCCUUCUUCAAUGCACGGUCUAUCUUGCCUGCAGCAUCUUUAGUGUUUGUGGUUGCAGCAGGUUGCUUUGGCAGUGGAAGGUUUGCAGGAAACUGAAAGAAGAGCAUUUGUGUUUCUUCCCUCUUCUCCUGCCAUGAUCGUCAUUGAGAUGCUAAUGAGAGCAAUGCAUCCGGAAGAGUAUGAGCUAUGCUAAAAAUUCAUACCAUCAGACCAAGUUCCCCGGCUGAAUCAAUUUUAGUUUCAUCCAUACCCAAGCUUGCUGAAGCCUCCCCAAAUUCCUCUUCAUCAAGAAUUUCUGAAACAAACCGGGCACAGCUGAAAAGUCUCUCCUUGCUGCAUGAUUGUGUAAAGUACAGUGGAACCAAUUUUUACCUGGGUUCCCAGAGUAGGGCCUUCUUAGGGGAAGUGUGCAAGGAUAGUAUGAAUGAUCAUAAUCCUGUCAAGAGACAAAACAGUAGAACUAUGAUGUCACUUAUAAAGAAUGAUUUGGUGGAAGUAAUGCUACUAUACUCACCCAAGGCUCGACAUAUUCUUUCUCAAAUUUCUGUACAUCAAGGCCAUCUACAUACCCCGGAAUUAAAAAAAAAAAAAACAGUUGUUCAAUGACUUGUUAGGGCAGAUCAAAGAGACAUGAAUUCAUGAUCAAAACGGCACCUGAAUCUUGGAUUCCUGUACCACGACCCUUGGGAAAUGACCUUGCUAACGAGGAACUUCCAUGGCCAAAUGCUACUUCUGACGGACCAACUGCAAUGAACAAACAGAUAACUGGACUUUAAAAGAAACAGUCAGCAUUGAGAAUCCUGUGAUCACAGACUCACAGUUUAAAUAUUCUGCAGAAGAAAUAUCAGUAAACCCUAUGAAUUAAAAAGAACAUUCUAUAUGAAUUAUGUCAUUUUGUGACAACUGAAUAGUGAGGAGGUUUUCAGGCCUUUGAUCUUAAUCUGUGGGCAACUUGUACAUAUUAAAUAAUAUUGAAUGUUCUGUACAUCACUGAGGAAACUGCACUAUGAAAAUCCAUAUAUUUCAAUCCAAUUAUGAAUAUAACUCGUAGAGGGCAACAAGAUAAUGAAUUGUGCAUUUAGGUCCAAUAAUAUCAGAAACAACUCAUAUUUGAGAGCUUUCCAACUCACAGAGAGACUUCUCAUGCCCAACUCAUAGGUCCAAUAAUAAAAAAACAAGGUGCAUUUUUCUAUAUGUGGCUUUUGCUUGCACCCGGAAUGAUUCAUUUCUCACAGAGGAAAAGAAUGUUUCUAAUUUACAAGGUGGAAGUAAUUAUAAGAAUGAUUGUGUCUUCUUCACAAAACAGAGGUAUCAUAAGGCUGCUUAUGUGCCAAUUUAUUACGUUCCAUAUUGUGCAACUUCUUGCUUGCACAUGAGAUGCUCUACUCUAAAUGGAGCAAAAAAAAGAAAAAGCUUUCUUGAAGCAUUAUGACAUAGGAAAAUUACAAUUUAGGAAUUAAAGCCUACAAUUAAUAUAAGAAUGUCAUGACAUUUUCUUUUUUAGAAAAGGAAUGAAACCAUUUGUUCUCUAAAGCAUGUCAGUCGAUGAAAAGAAACUACUAAGAGAAUAUGUUUUUUGGAGAAUAUACCCAAGGCAGAUUAAAAUAGAGUCCUUUAAGAACCAGAGUUGAGUAAUUUGUCUUACAGAAAGUUGAUUUGAGUAUCUCUAACCUUUUCUAUCACUCUUAGGAAAUCUCCUCAUGAGACCAUCGUUAGCCUGCUAAGACAUGGCUCCAAUCAAACAAAGAAAUUAUCGUAAAAAGGGCAGGGCGGACAGCUUCAAGUGGCUGAAAUAUUAAUUAAUAAUUACCUUCGCAUGGUUAAGCUUUGAGAGCAGUUCCUUAUCAACAACAUCAUCCUUGGUUUCAGGUUUUUCCCUACAAGCAAGCAUCAUGUAAGUUCCAGGAAAUGCAUUAAAAAUAUAGUGCUUUCAAUAAUCUACACCAUACGUUUUAGUUGUGAGAGGCUUUGGUGCCUUCCGAGGAGGUAUCUUAGGGGUGAACUUCAUCUGCUUAAAGGAAAUAAACAUAUAAACAAUCUAAACUCAGAGACUGAUCAUUAACAGCAUCACAGGGGGAAAAGAGCGAACACCUUUCGAGCAGGAAAUUUUGGAAGACCGUCCUGUUCUCCCUUCAUGUUAUAUCUUCUAAGAUUCUGAAGAAAAGCAGAGAAAGUUACAGGAAUCUGAAUAACGUAAGCAUAGACAUUAAAGAUUCAAAAGACAGUGAUAACAUCAAAAUUGUUUGAUCUAUAUCGUAUUUAUCAACACGUAAAGAAGCACAAGUUUCCGACAGGUUUUUGAUUCUGCAUCAAGAUCGAUUCAAUUAUCUAACAUGCAAGGACCGACAAUAGGAUUUCUUUAGCAUUGUUCGAGGAAGAACUGAUCUUUCCGAGAAGGCAUACCAGAAGAAGAAGUUGCGGUCGAUGAUAUGGGAAAGAAGAGAUCGAAAGAGGCGGCGUGGCUUCCUCCCACCGAACAACAAAGUGAUGCGGAGGGAAGGGUUUAUGGUUAUAUGGACUUCGUGGGAUGGGUUGCUACAGGAAAUUCGGUAUACUUCAUGGCGGGACCCAGUAACUUUGGCCUAUCACUGUCGUCUCCAGCUUGAUCGGGGAAUUCACGUAGGGUCCCGAGAGGCCGUGGACGACAGAACUACGUCAAGAUUAAACUUGGACAAGAGCUGGGCCGAUCACCCUGCCGUCUUCUGUAGCACGGCCCGAAGAUGUAUGAUACUGAUGGGCCAACGCAGUAGGUUGCCCCUCGAUAACUUCAUUGGGCUCUCGGUCUCUCAAAUUACCUCGUCUCGUCCGGUGUACUCCUCGUCUACCUCCUCCUCGCCUCUCAAUUCAAGGCCGGACACCCCUCCCACUCCCACGCCCACGGCCCGCCUCCUCUUCCGCUACUCGGAGGACUCGUCUCCGUUUAUCCGCUGGAAGAUGUCUCCGGAUCAAGGCCUGCGUAAAAUUUCAAUACCGACGUGUGUGUGUUUGUUGAGACCAGUUUGUUCUCUUUGGUGAAAACAUGCUCAGAUGUUGUUUGAGGAUAUGCCUGUGAAAAAUGUUGUCUCUUGGACUGGAUCAUUAGUGCGUAUAAUGGUGACGAGAGGCUGGAAGAGGCGCUUGACACGUUCAGAAGCAUGUUGGAUAUGUGUUUGAGGCCAAAUAGUUUCACUUUAGUCAAGAUACUGACUGCUUGUUUUUGGUCACUUUGGUCGAUAACAACAACAACAACAACAACAAAGCCGUAAGUCCCAACUAUCGAGAUAUACUAGAGUCAACAUGUGUGCUAAACGCGGAAGAAUGAAGAAGGCUUGCAUAAUUAUCGAGAUGUCCUAGAGUGCAAUGAUCUAUUGCAUUGUGGUGCAUCAGUUCUCCUGUUGGCUUGUAAAAUUUGUGCAGCUGCAAGGAGUAAGUGGGUUACAUACAAGAGGUUGGACUUACAGUUUUAUCUCCAUUAUCCAUUACAUUAUACAUCUGCAUGAUCUGUUACUGAACUCCCAACCAUAGACAUCGGUGCCAUGUGCAAGGCCUUUUGUUCGAUUAAAUCAUACUUGCCAGCCAAAGCCGGUUGAUUUAUAAAUACCAGGAUUAGUACAACUACCUUAUUGUCAUAUCAUGCAUUGUUAUCUUACAAUGAACAUCCAUGGUUAACUCUGUGUUAUUUGUUCUCUUUGUUUAACUACAGAUUCAUGUCGUUGACUCCUCGUUCGUGAGCCAAACAAGACCCGGUGAGCCUCACCUCAAAUAGCCAACUCAUUAGGACAUGCAUGCACCAAUCUUUUAUUUUGAUGGGUAAAAGUGUUCAGGUACAUCAUCUGCUAUUCAGAUUUCUUGCACCUUUUGUUCUACUUACUUGAUCUGGCUCUACUCAGAAAAUAUUUGCUGCGCAUUUCAUCUUAGUGCAAUUUUUUUUUAACUGAAUCUUUUGCAUGAAAAAGAAAAAUUUCAACUGUUUUAUAGUGCCCAAAAUUUAGAGCAAUGGGAUUCAAGUACUUAUUCACCCUUCUUGUAGCACAUUGUAUGCUAAAUUUGAUAAGGGGAAUACAAAUAAAGAAAUCACUCAUUUUUAUCAGGUACGGAAAUGGUACUAGCUCGGUCAUAUUUUAAUAAACCUCUCUUUGGUACUUAGUGUCGUCGGCAUUAGUUUUGGCAUUUCAUUAGCACCCUGACUCUCAUAAAUGAUUAAAGAAAGAGUUCCAUACUGUGAGAAUGUAGCAUGACAGCUAGUUGAAGGAACAAUAGGUUUUGGAAGUAGUAAACAAGUAUGUCACAACCAUCAAUACACUUCUUAGUUGUCACAGUGAUUUUUACGCAUACAUGCACCGAAUAUUAACUACAAAAGCAAUCCUUUUGGCAUCGAAAUUUUAAAGAAUCCAUAGAAACAAAUUGACUCAAGGUUAUUAUAAUUAACCAUCGCUUGGCAAGGAAUCAAAUUAGCUGUAGCUGACAACCCUUGGUAUUAAAUUCUGCCUCCCUGCUUCUGAGCUAGGAAAACCUACACCGUUCAGGAAUUAAACAUGAUCACUUCUUGUUUUUGCAUAUGAUUGAUCAUUCUAACAAGUAAGCUAUGCCAAAUGUCGAGAGAUAGCAACCUAAACACUAAAUCUAACAUCAGACUGAUUAGGUGCUCUGUGUGCAAUCAUCGAGCAGAAGCCUAUGUUUUGCAGGCUCUUAACAUUGUGGUUGAAGGGCAAUCUGCUGCAUUGCGAUGAUCCCCAAUAUCAUAUCAGAAGCCAUGGAUGCUUGCACAUGGUCACCAUAUUAAUUAAGAUUUGAUAACUUUGAACUUGGGAGAGAAGUCCAUGCUUCCAUGGAUUCCUAAUGAAAGAUUAAACAUGGUCAGAUCUGUCCACUUGCCAUCAAACAAAAUAUAUGGGCCACUAGGUGACCAUACCUUCAUUAUCUAUUCCUAAAAGGACAGUACCUUGAUCAAGACUUCUUUGAGGCCAAACAAAAGCUAAUCUUAUCAACCUUGUUGGCCAGUUAAAGGUGUGAGAGAACUGUUGUUAGUCUCAUCGAUAUGCAACAUCUAAAUUAAGGUGGAAAUAUGGCUUUCGGAUAACAAUUCUUUUUCUUUUUUUCCCUUUAUCUUUAGCAACUGUUUUACUACUUUUUCCUAGAGAAUAGAAGAAUAGCAACAAUGCUUUCAACAUUAAAUUUGAUGACAAUAUAUGCAAUAACGUAUUUUAGUCUGAAGAAAAUAUAUGCAGUGACUGAUAUGAAAAGAUCGGAUUUUGUAAUAAAAAAUGGAUUCGUUUCUUGGUUCUCUCCAGGAUGAUGUGGUUGCUGUUUCUCCAUCCACCUCUUCGCCAUGCCCAGCAAAGAGUUCAUGCUGUGUUAUGUAUCUCAAGCCAAAAAGUAAUCUCCUCUCUUGUCAUCAUCUCAUAACACUUGUAUUUGUUACAUAAUGAUAAAGAUUAUGAUACUAUGGUUCAAAGGGAGUAAAGUUUCUCUUUCAUUUCGCUCCAACUGAUGUGUCUUUUGUUCUCUGAAGAAUAGAUUACAAAAAGGAUUCACAACUUCCACUCGUUUCCAUCAAGUGGGAGGAAAAAGAUGAAGUGAUCACGAUUAUGUGUAUAUCCACAUAAGAAUAAGAGAGAGAGAGAGAGAGAGAGAGAGAGAGAGAAGCAGCAAGCCAUGCUCCACCACCCACAUGCUGAAGCGAAAAAUCUUAUCUCAGACUUCUGAUAUGCUCUCGAGAUGCGGCCUCCAUACGCCAACCCGCCCACUCCGCCGGCGGCGGUGACAUGCCUUCUUCUCCGAGACGAUCGCUGAGAGGCGGUCGUUGUCAUGGUCCGACUCCUUAGCGGCCACGUCGCCACCAGUUUUCUGGUGCCUCUUCUUCUUUCUCUUUUUGCCUGCAGGGCCUGGGAAUGCUGAUUCGGGAAUCAAGAAGUAGAUAUGGCCCCGCUUCAGGUCCGAGUCCGGCGACACGAUCAAGAUCUUGCGGGUGACUCCCUGGGAGCACGGCUUGCUGAUGAUGUGGUUCGGGUUGGCUGCCAGGAUCUCUCCGGCGGAGACCUGACGGCUGUACUCCUCGACUCGGCCAUUGAGAUGGACGAUUCGGAUGACGUCCAGCGCGCCACAGGGAAGAACGCAAGCCAAACAGCAUCUGAGGCUGUUCCCCAUGUUCUCUGCUUCUUCUGCUGCUUCUCUUCUUGUUGCGAGACUGCUAUAGGUUAUAUAUAGACGCUUAUCGCUGCAACUUCCAAUAAACUUAGUUGCCGCUUUAUAGAAUUGGUUGUCCAAAUUGCUCAUUAUAACCUCAUUUUUUAGCACUAAUAAAAAGGCAGAUUAAAACGAAUCGAAAACGCGUUUCAAUUCAAAAAAAAAUACUGUCAUGCAGGUUAACCCACUCGAGAGCUGCACAUCACUUUGAUGGUCCUGUAGUUGUAUCAUGACAUGAUUGGUCGCGCCUCAAACCUUACAUUUUAUGAGACAGAGGUAGCACCAUCAGACAUUGUCAUACAUAGAAGACUCGGCAAAAUAGCUUCGUUUACGUUGUUCGUAAUUCAGCUAAGCAUAUCAACAAACAACAUGUGAGCCGUCUUCCGACAGCUUGGAGUCCGGGAAUUAUUGGACGCGGUGGUUCCAAACUCGGGUACUCGGGCGCAUAUGGCAGGCGACCGAUUGAGGAAGCUUCGUGGCAUGAGGGGGAAGCGGGGUCACGGGCACCCAUCGUCGCUGUGUCCGCGAAGGACCCGUAUCGGCCGUCCAUCUCGCAGAGGCCCACCUUAUCCGACGGGGCACCCACCGCCGCUGUUGUGUCCGCAGCCCUGGAUGGAUUUCUUUUGCGUACGAAGGGACCGCAAGAAGACGAUGACGGGAGUGUACGAAACUAAGGUGACUUAUUGGGGGUUGGGACGUCUCCAACGAGCAGCAUAAUACACAGUCCAUUGGUUGUCGAAGACGAUGAGCAUCUCUGUCUUUUUGCCCUACAGGGAAACAACUUGUUCUGAUUAGAGAAGAACUUGCAUUAUACGUAGUGGUGUAGCUUAAAGUUAGUUACAUUGAAGAUAAGAGAAAGACUCGAUAAUAAGAAAGAGUGGUACUAUUAGUUUAUAUUUUAUUGUUGUCAAAUGUUUUAUCUUUAAACUAGCGUUCCUAAUCUAUACAUAUGAUCAAUUUUAGUAUUUUCAUAAACCAAACCAACUAAAUAUAAUGACUGAUGGGCGACUUUGCUUCGAUGAAAUCUCUUUAGAUUUUGGGUUGUUAAUUUGGGCAUAGGAAGGAUUGAGUUAAGAAAUCUCUUUCGAUUUUGAUCUUUGUGUAGGUGGUAUCUUGAUGGUUUGAUAUUUUCACAGCAUCUUGACAACUUUGCGCACGUGGGUUUAGACCACGUUAGGCUGACUAAUGACAUCUUACCAUAAUAUUUUUGACGCUAGAAAAAUGUUUUGAUAUAGCAGGAAUAUCUACUUGUUGAUCUUUUCAACAAAUGCUUAAGGGAUUAAACUUUACCCUAAACUUAUAAUACUUUCAUCGAAGGGGGUAGCAAUCAUAAUUUUCACAUAUUGAUGUGUCCACCUCGAUGUAAAUACUAAUGCAAUAUUAACACAUACUUAAAAAGCAGUCUUUUACCGACCUCGAAAGGUAAAAAAUAAUUUAAUUUAUAUUUUAUUUUUAUACAUGAACAUAUAUAUCAUUAUAAUAUUUAUUUUUAUGAUUCACACACAAAAAUAGAAUUUAAACUAUUUACUUUCUAAAAAUAACAUAAUUUAUUAGAAAAUAUUAAUUUUAAUUAUUUCUUUAACCAUACUAUACAAAUAAAGAAGUUAAUAAUUUAAAUAAAAAAAAUAUAUGAUUUAUGAUAAUUAAUUUUAUAUUAAGAAAAAUAAAAUCAUCGAUGAUUAAAUUUCUGAAUCACGUAACAUAAUCUCUAAUUUUUUUCCGUCUCGAGAAACAUAUUCUCUCGCGGCUUGCAUCCCACUGUGACGAACAGAAGUGGGCUUAUUUCUCGGACACAAUCCAUGUAGUAGUAACCCGUGUAAUCCUUCUGCACGGAAUGCAGCCCAUUCAUCUGAGAUUUAACUCUAACCAUGGAGUUCAUUAGUAAUUGGCUCGCGGGAUGCGUCCACGUACGUGUUGGACUUGAUCAACACCGAUAAAAACAGAGUUCCUUCGCUACUUCUCCAAACGGCGUGUCACGAGCAUCCGUCUCGCGAAACGCCAUCCUCUCUCAUCCCAGCCGUCGAAUCGAUCUUUUCCGUGUUCUAAAUACCUCGCUGUCCCUCCUCUCGGUGCCAUCGGACCGCAAUGAGAUUGAGAUUGCGAUUGCCGCCGCCGCUCAGACUGCCACCCGAUCGGACCAAACCUUUAUACUGUAUCCGUGCCUAUUCCUUCUCCUCCUCCUCCUCCUCCGCGGCCGCCGCCGCUGACGACGACGCCGACCUCCGUCGCAGCCUCUCCCUGCUCCUCUCCCCUGCCCCCUUCGAUGCUGCCCUCUGCCGCGAGACCCUCUCUCGCAUCUGCCCUCGCCGCCUCGAACGCCUCCUCCUCGACCUUCGCUCCUCCCUCCACCCCGAGCCCGCCCUUCGCUUCUUCUCCUUCGCCACCGAUCACUGUGGCUUCAUCUUCACCCCCCGCGCCUACGCCCUCAUCCUCCACUCCCUCUUCCGAUCCAACCUCGCAUCUGCGGCCCGGGUUCUCCUACUUCGCAUCCUCGACGCCCGCGCCGCCGUCCCCCUCUUCCUCGAUGACCCGGAUCAUUGGUUCUCCGAGAUCAUCCACGCCCUUGCUGACACCGUCCCCUCAAGCGACUCGCCCGCGAUCGAUCUUCUUGUCCACCUCUGCUGCACCCAGCUUCGUGGCCGAGGGCUCGCCUUAAUUGCCUUCAGAAUCCUCGUCGAUCGGGGGCUCUGCCCGUCUCUGAAGACCUGCAAUUUUCUUUUGGUAUCGCUGGUGAAAUCCAAGAAUUUAGAGGAUGCUCGCAUGGUUUUUGAUCAAAUGCAGCAGUUUGUUGCUCCUGACGUCUACUCGUACACCAUACUGAUUGAUGCCCUCUGCAAGAGACGGAAUGUUGAGGAAGCUAUGGCAUUGUUCUCGGAUAUGGAGAGGUCCGGAAUUUCUGCAAGCGUUGUAACUUACAAUGCUCUGAUUGAUGGACUUUGCAAGAGAAAUAUGUUGAAUGAGGCAUUUGCAUUGAAGGAGAAGAUGAUUAGAAUCUCGAUAAAUCCAAGCAUCGUAACAUUUGGUAUUCUCAUCAAUGGCUUGGUUAAAUUGGAUAGGUUUGGCGAUGUGGAACUUGUCCUAACUGAAAUGGAAGAGAUUGGAAUUCCACCAAGUGUGGUUAUCUAUAAUACAUUGAUAUAUGGGCACUGUAAGAUGGGACGACCCACAGAGGCAUUAAAGUUGAGGGAUGAAAUGAUGGCGAAAGGUAUAGAACCGAACUGUGUUACCUACAAUAUAAUUGUACAAGGCUUGUGCGAUGCAGGGGACAUGAAGCAGGCUGAGUAUAUUCUUGAUGAAAUUCUGUCAAAUGGGAUGGAAGCAAAUGCUGGGCUGUUUGGUUCUAUUAUUUUCUGGCUUGUCACUAAAGAACAAAGAUUAGAUUGUGCGGUGAGGCUACUUGGAGAGAUGCUGCUGAGGAAUUUAAGGCCUAAUGACUCUCUUUUGACGGCUUUGAUUGUUGAGCUCUGUAAGCAAGGGAAGCAUCGAAACGCCAUAGAGAUUUGGUCCAAGAUGUUGGAGAAAGGAUUUGGUGUGAAUAUUACAACUUCCAAUGCAUUGAUUCAUGGGCUUUGUGAGUCAGGAAACAUCAAGGAAGCAAUAGGGUUCCUCAAGUCAAUUCUCGAGAGGGGAAUAGCACCAGAUAGAGUGACAUAUAAUAUCUUGAUAUCUGGAUGCUGCAAAGAAGGGAAAAUCUGCGAGGGGUUUAAACUAUGGGAUGACAUGAUCAAAAGAGGAUUUAAACCAGAUAUUGUUACCUGGAACACUCUAAUACAUGGUUUAUGCCGUUUAGGUAGAAUGGAAGAGGCUAUUGGACUUUUGAAUCAACUAAAGGAUGAAGAUUUGGUUCCGGAUCUUUUUACAUGCAGUAUGAUUAUCGAUGGCUAUUGCAAGGUUAAGGAAAUUGAUAAAGCGAAAAGCUUCCUAAAGGAGAUGGGUACAUGGGGUUUAGAGGCAAAUGUUGUUGUCUACAACUCACUUGUGAGUGGGUUUUGCAAGAAUGGCAAUAUUACUGGGGCUUCUAAUCUUGUCGAUGAAAUGAAAAGUAAUGGUAUAUUACCAAAUUUUGUGACUUAUAGUACCCUUAUGCAUGGCUUCUGCUGCACUGGAUAUUUAGAGGAGGCUAAAAGAAUUUUUGAAUUGAUGAAGGAGAAUGGUUUGGGCUUGAAUGUGGUGACCUAUACUACACUUAUUGCUGGAUACUGUAGGUCAGGUCAAAUGGAUGAAGCAAUCAAGGUCUACAAGGCAAUGUGUGUCGCUGGUGUAACCCCAAACAAGUUCACAUAUACAGUAUUGAUACAAGGGUAUGCUAAAAUGGGGAAUCUUGAAGCAGCGUCUAAACUUCUCGACGAAAUGGUGAACAAUGGUAUUGUUCCUGAUUCUGUCACAUUCAAUGCAUUGAUGUCUGAAUUCUGCAAGGAAGGUAGAGUAGAAGAGGCUCUUAAAAUAUCUGAUCAAAUAUCUCAAAGAGGUCUGGCACUAGAUGAUACUGAUUAUACUACUUUAGUUCUGGAAUAACUUCUUCUAGGCAUCAAAAAGAAAUUGCUUCUCCACCUGAAGGAGGUACUAUCAAGCAACUAUUUUUUAAUAUGUCCUAUUCAUAAAAAUACCUUUUAGGACAGUAAACGUCUUCUCUACCUAUUUCAACUUCUAGAUAUAUCUUACAGGGGAUUGCUUAUAAUGUUGUAGAGAAUGUUGGGGAUAUUGGUGAGAUGAGAUCUGAUCUUUUUGGAUCAUAUGCUGAAUCGUCAUGUGCUGCCCUUGUUGUUGCCUCUAUCUCUUCAUUUGGAGUCAACCAUGAUUUUCCUGCAAUGUGCUAUACUUUGCUUAUUAGCUCCAUGGGCAUCGUAGUUUGUUUAGUAACUACUCUCUUUGCAACCGACGGUUGGUAUUGCAAUUAUCAGUUGGAUUGCUCUCCCUUUGACAUUCACAAUUUUCAGUUUUGGGGUGACCAGAAGCAGGCCAAAAGCUGGUUAGUAUCAUGUUCCUUUUAUUUCAGUAAAUGGCAAGUUUUUAAUCUAAUCGUCAGAGUAGUUUAGGGAGUUAUUUUAUGUGUUGCAAUUGGAUUAUGGGCUGACUUCGUUAUUGGGUUUGUUACCGAAUACUAUACAAGAAAUGCAUAUGGGUAAGAAAUUGGUUUUUCUAUUCUGCUUAACAUGAGCUACCAUGAUCUGGUUUUUAUAUAUUGUGUCCUUUCCUUACUACUUAUUUCUCAGUACUGUACAAGAUGGCGCUGAUUCUUGCCGGACUGGAGCCACUACUAGUGUCAUUUUUGGACUGGCUUUAGGAUACAAGUCUGUCAUUAUCCCAAUUUUUUCCACUGCUGUCAGUAUAUUUGUUAGAUUUAGUCUUGCUGCCAUCUAUGGUAUUGCUGUUGCUGCUUUAGGCAUGCUGAGCAGUAUUGCUACUGGUCCGGCCAUUGAUGCCUAUGGGCCCACCAGUGACAAUAUUGCUGGAAGCAUUGCUCAGAUGGAUGGAACGAGCCACAGGUUUCAGGAGAUAACAGAUACACUUGAUACUGCAGGCAACACCACCGCAGCCCUAGGAAGGGUAUCAUAAUAUUAUUGCUCAAGUAGUUUUCUGCAUUCAAUUAACUGUGUUAGAUCUGCUUGAAGCUUGGGGAGGUAACCUGUGCCUAGGUGCUAGUGACAAGAACAACCUUGGUAUGAUGUAGAUUUAUUUUAUUUUAGAUGGGUUGGUGCACAUUCAUGCUAUCUGGUUUGAAUAUGAUGUUUGCAUCUAUAUUUUAGAUUUUUUUUGUUUUUUUGUAACUGCUUAUGCAGAUAGUAGCUUUGGUAAAACUGCUACCCACAAGUUUCAGUGCUUUUUGUAUUAGCUUUUUUGCCAUGUAGAACGCUAAUUGGGAAAAUAUUUUCAGAAGAAGCCACUUUUCCAAAAUUUAAAGUAAGGCUAUUUGCCAAAAGUCAAUCUAUAUUUAGAAGAGGUCAUCUGUUCCAGGGAUGGUGCUUGUACUUUUUCUGUUGAUAUUCUAGCUUUAUCUAUUGGUUGCAUGUCACAAAAGUUGUGUUGUUGCAAAUGCAAUUGUUUGAUUGUCAUUAUUGCUUGCUAUUAAGAUUAUACUCGGAUUGUUACUGCUGUUCUCUAUGUUUUCAUUCAUCUUGAGUCUUGUUUGUAAUUUUCAUUCAUAUUUUUAUGUCUUUUCCCAGGGCUUUGCAAUUGAUUCAGCUGCCUUGGUCUCUCUCGCAGUCAAGCAGCUAUUUCCACUGUGGAUGUCUGACACCAAAGGUGUUCAUUGGGUUGAUUGUUGGUGCGAUGCUUCCUUACUGGUUCUCAGCCAUGACCAUGAAGAGUGUCGGCAGUGCAGCUCUGAAGAGGGUGGAGGAGGUCUGAAGGCACUAACUGAGGCUUAUGGAUGGUACUGCUAAACAUGAUUAUGCCACCUGUGUCAAGAUUUCCACUGAUGCCUCAAUCAAAGAGAUGAUUAUCCAGGUGCUCUGGUGAUGCUUCCACCCCUGAUCAUUGGAAUUUUGUGUCAUGGAAACCCUAUCUGGUGUUCUUGCUGGGUCUCUUGUUUCUGGUGUUCAGGUAAGUAAGAAUUUGCUUGCUGAUGUCACCAACAGAAUUUGUGACUCAAGGUAAUGGUCGUUCUUUGUCACAGAUUGUUAUCUGAUCCUCAUCUAAUACUGGUGGUGCAUGGGACAAUGCCAAGUACAUCGAGGUAAAGCUACUCUUCCUUUUUCAUGUUUUCUUUACAUGCUACUGUGCUCCUGAGGCCUGUUUCUUCCGUACAUUUAUGACCCUUGCCUAUUCAAAAGAAUGGUAAAUUUCAAGAUAACAAAAUUGUGCUUGUUUAAACUUGGUUUACAUGAGGUUAGGUGUCUUAAAUUGCUCAUAGUUCCACAUCAGAAUCUGUAGCUACCUCACGCAAUUAUUCAAACUGCUCAUCUAAUAUGGCGUUGAUAGGCUGGGGCAUCAGACCAUGCAAGGAGCCUUGGCCCUAAGGAAUCCGUUCCUCACAUGGCUGCUGUUAUUUGUGACACCAUCGGGGACCCUCUCAAGGAUACGUCCGGGUCGUCACCUAUCAAACUAAUGGUUGUGGAAUUUCUGGUGUUGGCACCAUUCUUUGCAACUCAAGGAAGUCUCUUGUUCAAGAUCUAACUAAUGAGUAAGCUCGGGGAUGUUUGUUCUUUACACUGCUCAAAUCUCGAUCGGUUUCAAUAUUUGAUCAGUGAUUGCAACUUGUUAUUUAUCUUUCUUUUGCUUUUCCCAUCAUAGUUUCUCUUUAUCGUUAUUAGUUGAAAUUGUAGAUAUAGGUCAGCGUCCAUCGACCCAUUGUGGGCAAGGAGGCUGACAAAAUUUUCUUAUGUUUGAAGAUGACAAUUAUUGUGGUGAAUUGACUGUUGUCAUUCUUAAGAGUUUCGUGUCAGAAUAUCCACAGUGGAAACAGCUGGCUCUCCUGCAUGAUCUACUAAUAAUUUACUUAUCAAAUGAACACCUUACUAUGCAUGUGUUAGAGGGAAGAUUGAGUACGUUGAUUCAUCCUAACCUCGUGGGAGUUUCGUACAUUUCUAGUUCAUUUGGAGAUCUUGAUUUGUGUUAAUCAUGAUUUUAAAUAAAAUAAACGUCUCUAAUUUCAGCUUUAAUCCUUGGCAAGUUCUUCAUUAGUUAGACAAAUUUGAUUGCAUAGGGUUUUGUAAAUCUGAAUAUCGUUAACAAUAACUUUAUUUUGAUUAACGUUAAUUUUUAAAUCACUAUUCACUAUAAUUUUAUCUUUUGUAGGAAAGAAAAAGAAAUCUGAUGUGGGGUUAAAUACCAUUUAUUUCUUGAUGUUGCUACUUUGUGAAAAAAAAGGGCAUGUGCUGUGGAGACCUCCGAAUGUGAUAGUUAGAAGAUGUGAAAUGAUUAAUAUUAGUGGUAUGAGACGAGAUCGAAGAAGACCUAAAAAGACUUUAAUAAAAACUAUCAAUAAAUAUUUAAUUAUUCUAAACUUAAAUAAACAUGGCUUUUUAUAGAUCUCAAUUGCGACAAAAGAUCUAUGUAGCUGAUCCCAAAUAGUUGAGAUUUACAACUUUGUUAUUAUUGUUAUUGUUACUUUGUGAAAGUAGUGCUGCAAGACUAUAGGACUAAAGCCUUUUUUUUUUGUUAAGGUUAAAUAUUUACCAUUCACUUCAAUUAAGGUUUCCUUCAUUUAAUUCACUUAUUAUUUUAUCAAACAUUCUCAGAAAAAAACCACAACCUAUUCGAUGGCCGACUCUGACAAGGCAGCUGUGGUUGUGUAACAGCCUACUCCAGCGGUUGACUAGACAAGGUGGCCGUGGUUGUCGAUGGUGCGGCAGCCAUUGCAGUGAGAGAUGAGGCUUUUGUGUGUGCUGUGCUACUCUAGAUCGGUGGCCACCUAAGAAAUGUGACUAUGGAUCAUGCUGCUGGGGGUUGGGUUCCAUGCUCUAUCUGGUGAGGUUUUGACUACCUUCGGAUCUGGACUGUGUCAACCAUGAAAUGUGACUAUGGGACAUGCAUGUGAUCAUGCAGUGGAUUGAGGCUUUGAGGAUAUUGGUGGUAGAGUACAUGAUCAUUUUGAGGGAUUUCCUCAAGGGUUUAACAAAUAGGGGGGCCGUGAAUUGUAUAUUCUUGCUUUAUAUCUCUUGACCUUCACAAAUAUUUCUUACAUUUCUUAUCUAAAGUUUGGAUCUGUUUUUUUUUUGUAACUCUGCUGUUACAUUAGGGUUCAGACAACAAGCCUGUUAGAAAUCUGUCAUAUUACUUUAUUAGAAACAUGUCUGAACCAAUGAGUGGCAAUGGAAAAACUGUGGAUAAUUAGCAGUCUUAAAUCUUUGUUAGAUGACAAAAAAUGAUAUUGUCUUUAAGCCAAAAAAUGAUUCACAAGGAAACUCGAUCGAUUGUUAACUGUAGAUAUGACAAAAAACAUGAAUAAUUAGCAGUCUUGAGUCUUUGUUAGAUGAAAAUGAUCUAAAUAUUUGUGGAUCGAUCACAAGGAAACUCUGUUCAUUUGUCUUAGUUUGAUUUGAUACCUAAAGUUGAAUACAGCAUUGAUUCAUACAUCAUGAUUGACAGAGGUGUUUCAUCUUUUCCUCCAUGCAGAAUCUUUGCAACCCCAUCUUGUUGAGUGCAGUAAAAGGUGAACCUUUUUACUUGUGAAGAAUAACUGCCUUCUUGAGGAUGAAUGAUUCUAAUGUUCUUUUCCCCUGUUUUGGUAUCAUCUUCUUCCUCUUUUACAGCAUUUUCUCUGCUGAAACUUCGCAUCGGGGGUUCCUUGCAAGAGAAGGUCAUAUUCAACACAGGAAAUCCUCAGCAAUCAUGUGUGUCAUUCCUCAAGAAUACUUCUGAGAUGUUUGGUUUCUCUCAAGGAUGCUUACCCAUGCCCAGAUGGUUGAGCUGAAUGAGUUCUUCAAGACAGCAGGGUAGAAAUCUUCUCUAGCAAGUUCAAAUUUUACUGUUGAUGAAUAAUUUCUCUCUGAGACCACUCAGAAACUUCAUCCUAUCUUUUGCUCACACAUUAUUUUUGGGUUGAAUGCACUCGAUGGAAAAGUUCCUCUGAGUGAUGGUUCACUAGGACCUUGGAACAACACCAAUGCCACUUCUCUCAUUGGUAUACAAACAAUAAGGGUUGCACCAUCUGUUGUUGGGAGCUUGGUAAGUCCACCUUGAUCAAGAAUUGCAGGUUCUAAAAAGACUGGAACUUGUUCACAUCAUUGCUUAAUGCUUGAAAUGUUGAAAGAGAUGUCAACACUUGUUAACAUCAUCAUUUGGAACUUAACAACCACUGAAUAGUCUAUCUUCAUCGAUCGGCACAGAACUUGCUUCAAGAUUUUACUCUAGUAGGGAUGAAGGUUCGGAUUUUUUGUCUGUCUCAGGCAAUGAACCAAGUGGAUCUGGAGAUGGAGCUACAAUUGGUGCAGACCAGUAUGCUGCAGAUGCUAUAGGAAUAUUUAAAGAAGGAUUGGCAUCAAAGUGACCUGCAGCUCUCGAGUGGGUUAAAUUGCAUAACUCUAUGGAUUAAUAAUUUUCAUACCAGUAUUUCCUAGAUAUCAUUGACCCGACAUACACUUACUAAAUAUUUUGGAUGUCAUUGACUUGACUAUUUCAUAGGGUCAUUUAUCACAUGGACAUCCUAAGAUCACAUUAUUGUCCCAAAAGGUACCUUGCGAUUUACAUUCUCAGUUCUCGAAUAUAAUUGUAGUUUACUUUACUACGAAUGUGUAGAUCUUUUAUCACAAUAUAGUAGUAGUAGUUUACUACGAAUGUUAGUCCUUUAUUAUAAUCAUUUCUUCAUCUUCUAUCUUAGACCAUAUGACAUUGUGUCGAGUUUUUGCUCCUUAAAUGUAACUCGUAUCAGUAAUGUGUUUUGUAUACUGGUUACCUGUUUGUGUAUAUUUAAGUUCCUCCUUUGGCCUCUGAUAGCUGUCUGCUUGCUGCAGAUGUCAUCUUCAAUGAAUUCAAUAUCUCUGUUAAUAGAGUUGGGUGCAAUUCACAUUGUCGAUGUCAAAUUUCUGUCAUUCGAACACGUAGAAGAAGUUCACUGGUGAACUAGAAAACUAAUUGCAUAGCCUAACAAAGGGCUUUCUUUAGAGAUCUUUUAGAGAAAAGAUCUCCCAUGCAGCAGGAAAAGACUGGCUCAAGUUUUGGCCUUGAGUGACUGAAAAUUAACGAUGACCAUGACCUACUUAAGAUUUGUAUUUACAUGACACAGCUGCUGCUAUCGUGACCUAAAGCUCAAACGAAUCAAUGAAUUCAAAAGAUCCUACUGAGCUAAUCAUUGCUUGCGGAUGCAGCGGCAAUGGAGCCACCAUCCUCGCUGGAUCCUGUAGCGCCGGCAGCGUCCGGUCUGAUCUCAUCCAGUUGCUGCAGGAUUUGCUGAACCUCCGGCCUGGCCGUCGGCGCCGGGUCGACGCAGUGCAGGGCCAACUUCAAGGUGUUCAGUAGCUCAUCCCCGGCCGCCGUCCCCGCCGCAUCCCUCAUCAGUUCCAGGUCGAACACCUCAUUGGUCCACUCCUCUUUGACUAUCGAGGCCACCCAGUGCGGCAAGUCCAUGCCGUUCAUCAAGUCCGCAGGCGAUUUACCCGUGAGGAGCUCGAGCAUGACGACGCCGAGGCUGUAGACGUCGGUCUUGGUAUUGGCCUUCUUGAGCUUGGACAGCUCCGGGGCUCGGUAGCCGAGCGCGCCUGCGGUGGCAAUCACAUUGGAGCUGGCAGCACUAGUCAUCAAGGACGAGAGGCCGAAAUCAGAUAUCUUAGCGUUGUCGUCGUCGUCAAGCAGAACGUUGCUGCUUGUCAGGUUGCCAUGGAUCAUGUUCACUUCGUUGUGAAGGUAGAGUAGGCCCCGAGUUACCCCCUUGGCUAUGUUCAUCCUUGUCGCCCAAUCUAUCGGCGUCUCAGGUCCCCGAGCUGUGUCAGCAGACAAGAAGAAGUUAUAGAAUCGUAUUGCUGUUCAUCAAUGAGAAGGAAGCUGUGGGUGUGGAUGCGAGGGACUCUGCGGAAGUUACCAUGUAGAAAAGCUGCAAGGUUUCCCUUGGGCAUGAAAUCAAAGACCAGAAGCUUCUCUCCUUUGGGGCCUAAAUAGUAAGCUCGCAGCGCCAAUAGAUUGUGAUGCCGGAUUCUGCCAAGCUCACACGCCUCCGUCUCGAAUUCCUUUUGGCUCUUGGUGAUCUUCUCUCUCAGUCUCUUCACUGCAACUUGGUUCCCGUCCUCCAGUGUGGCCUUGUACACGGUCCCGUACGUGCUCUUCCCCAUGAUCUCCGCCGUCGCACACAGGAGGUCAUCGGCGGCGAAUGCCAACGGUCCCUCGAAGUGUACCAGCUUUCCCCCGGCCUCCCCGCCGGACUCCGCUUCAGCUCCCGUGGCAGGCCCGGGCUUUUCCUCUCUUCCGGUGGCAGAAGCGCCGCCAUCAGUCUUCUUCCCCAAGGAACUCCUUUUCCUCAUCAGGCAGCAGAGCAGAACACAGCAGAGCACAAAAAGCAGCACCGCCAGCACUGCCCCUGCAACUAUGAGAACGAUCGCCUUGGUGCUCAGUUUAGCAUGACGUCGCCUUGUAGGGAUCAACGGAGGAGACAGAGUCGGGGCAGGGGAAGAAGGACAAGGGACGGUAAUGCUGUACCCACACAGCUGAAUGUUUCCCAUGAAGGAGCUCGAAUUAAACUUGUGGGAGAGGAGAAGUGGCACUCGACCUGAUAAGUUGUUGUCGGACACAUCGAACGAAGUCAGACCAGUCAGGUGCACCAAAGUGGCCGGUAUCUCUCCGGUGAGGUUGUUCUCCGACAGGUCUAGCUGCGAUAGACCAGAGAUGUUUCCUAGUGUCGCCGGUAUCGCGCCACUUAACUGGUUCCUCUUAAGCGACAGCAUCGACAGAUUCUUGAGUCCAUCGAUGUUGUCGGGGAUGUGGCCGUCGAUUUUGUUGCCCUCCAGGCUUAAUUCAACCAAGGACGACAAGUUGCAGAUGGUAACAGGAAGGCUCCCUCCUAAAUCGUUAUGUGAAAGAUCUAACGUUUGGAGCAGCGACAGUUUACCGAUCUCUUCGGGUAUGCUUCCGUUAAGCCUAUUGUUGCUAAGUGUGAUCUCUUUGAGCAUUUGUAGUCCACUGAGAGAUGGCGGAAGAUUCCCGCUGAUGGAGUUGUAGUCGAGAUUUAAGGUCUGUAAUUGGUAGACUUGGCUGCUACCACCUCCGAUGGCCCAUGUGUCGGGAAUGGGUCCGGAGACAUUGUUGUGCUGAAGGGAGAAAAAGGUAAGCGAGGCGGAGCGGGUAAUGCUACGGGGGAUGGCACCGGAGAGAUUGUUAUGGCUAAGGUUAAGCCUAUACAGCUUAGUAGCGUUUGCAAUGGAAGAAGGAAUGCUACCCGCAAACGAGUUGUUGCUGAGAUCGAUGGUCCGGAGGAUGGGGCAGUUGCCGAUGGAUGGCGGGAUGGCACCCGAGAAGCGAUUGUUGAAGAGGUAGAGGCCUCUGAGUUGAGGUAAGAAGCCAAUGGCCGAAGGGAUCUGACCGCCGAUGGAGUUGUCGUGGAGGCUCAGCUUGCGCAAGGCGGCGAGCUGGCUGAUCUUCUCGGUGAUUCGCCCGCCGAGGCCCCGCCACGGGAGCUGGAUGGCGAUGACCUUGCCCUUGACGCACUUGAUCCCGACCCAGGCGCCGGAGCAAGCGUCGAGGCCGGUGUCGUUCCAGCCGCGGAGGAGCCCCCGGGGGUCGUCCAGGGCGUGCUUGAGCGCCUGGAGGCCUUGGUAGUCGGCCUGGCUGAUGAUUAUCCCGUCCCAGGACUGGCUCGAAGCUGAGCUCGCAUGAGCCAGCAGCGACAACAUCACGAUGUGAAGCGGCAGAAGCAGGAGGAGACUACCCCCGGUUGCAGAUUGCCGAGAUGGGGCUCUCUCGGACUCGCACAUCUCCAUAUGCUCUUGCAUUGUGUGCUGGCAUCCUCCGAUCCUCCUCUUCAUUCGCAUGCAAGUUGGAUGGGAGUAGGAAGACAGACCCCCGAACGAGAGAGAACGGAGGAGGAGGAGGCUGGGAAUUGGGCAGGGAACUGAGAGAUAUCUUGCUUGGAAUAUAGGAUGGUAUUAUUUCUCGAGGCUAACGGCUAGUUUGCUUUUCCUUUCUGUUCUCUUUUGGGGCCGUAGAGCGAUGGGGUGUCGGCGACUAGGAUUCUGGGAGAGCUAUUAUUGAGGGCGGGCGAUCAUCGGCCAGAGGGAGAUCCCACCAUGUCCACAACGGCUACCUUAUUUGAAUGGGUCCAUGGCGAAUCAACAAUUCAUCGGCCUUCCUCGUGCAGGGCGUCGCGCAGUACAGUGAUACGACCACCAGAAUAGCUUACGUGUGUGUCCGCACCUGUUGACCAAACCCACAGGGUUAUGAUGACAGCUGACUUAUAUAAGUCGAUAAAGGCGAAUCUUUUGAGACUCGAGAGUUGGUCGAAAAGGAAUCUUUUGAGGCUCGAGCACGUAUCGACAUGCUCUGAUUCAUAAUUUAGCUGCCGGAAUGGUGGGGCCAUUGUUUGCAGUACUAAUAUACCACACUACGUUGCAGGGUUGGCCUUUGAGAUUCACAUAAACUGAUUUCGAAUUCUCAUGAUGCUAAUAGUUGGAAAAGAGAAAUCCAAAAUCUAUGCUCGAAGGUAUCCAAUUGUUACACAAGUGAUAGAUCAUCAAAGUGUUAUAUACACCAUCAUUUACUGUAAUAUAUAUAUAUAUAUAUAUAUAUAUAACCUCAUUUUAAUUUAAUUUAUUUAUUUAUUCUAACUGCAAUAAUCAAUUAUUGUGAUACCGAAACUUAGCACAAAAGAUUCGCGUUUCCCGACUCGUAAUCCGCAACGGCCGCUCCCCCAAAUCGGAGGACCAUAUAUAUAUAUAUAUAUAUAUAUAUAUAUAUAUAACUGCGCCCCUUUGCAUCCACCGCCCAUCGUUUUCGGUUCCCUCUCCCACUCUUCGAUCCUUCUGAAUACUCGGCGAUCUCCUUCGAUGGCGAGAUGGUAGGAGCUCCAACGAUACGGCGAUUCUCUCGCUGGCUACCGGAUCCUCGUCGCCGGCUCCGUCGUUUCCUGUAACGCGCCGGGGAGCGGCAACACCUUGCAGCGCCAGGUGAGACGUCAACGGUGCCCCUGUUCUCAGCGUUUGAGUUGUGUCCCAUCUUGUGGUGUUAUCGAUGUCUACAUGAUGAUCAGACAUCGUUGGAGACGUUUUGGUGCGUGAGGGUAUGGUAGGGUCAUGGCAGGGCGAUGAUCUGAUCCCUUUUUUCUCUAGGGUUCUCGGAUGAAUUAAAUUGCGUGGUCUUGUUUCCACGUUUGAUUUGAACUUUACAGAUAUCAAACUAGAUUUAUUUGAUUCCAUGUUCUUGUUUCUCUAGAUUUGUUUGAAGGGUGGAGAUUCCGAUGAAAGAGAUAAGAGAAUUAAGAAUCAUGGUUCUCAGAUUGCAAACAAGAUUUACCUACCAUACUGAAAAAAAGUAGAGAAUUAUGGUGAUUGUUACAUGCUCUGCAAUCUUAACAAUGUCAUGAAUCAUGGCAUAUGCACCUCAAACUAUACCAUGGACCAUGGUCUAAAUCCUCCAAAACUAACUGAACUUGCACCUUAAGAAAUAGUUUGGUAUGAGAAAAAAAUGAAAAUAAUGCUUUACAGUUGUAUCUUUGAAACAAAACUGAACUGUAAACCAUACUUAUAACUAUUUAUGUUCUAUGUUUUUUUUUUUUUUUUACUAUAACCAUUUCCUGCAAACAUAAGUUUGGGCAUUUUAUUUGUUCAUUUGCUUCAAUAUUCUCAAAUCUCUAUGAUUUUGCGAGAAAGCGAGUAUUUCAGUAGAAACUUGCACUAUAAAUUGAAUUAUCAUAUGUGAAGCUAUAUAAAUACAGAUUAUGAGGGAAUUUUCUUCUGGAGUUAAUAGUGCUAUAUAAGCAGACCAAACUAGCAUGUGCACUGAAUACUCCAAUUUAAUAUAUUGUUUGUAUUUCGUAUUUGCACUCAAGGAUGGGAAAAGAUUAUGCUAGAAGCUUGAAGUUGUUUUUUGAAUGUAAUUAGAUUAGGUUUCCAAAUUUCUUGAUGUGUGAUAACACGAAAUUGGGGCUAAAUCUUAAUUAUUUUUUUUCAAAGCUAAUCUUGUUAGGAUAAAAACUGUUUGCCCUUUAAUUGAUUUCAGAGACAGAAAAACAUUCGCUUGUAAUAGAGAUGAUCUAGAUGACUUUGAAGAUGAUGAUGAUUACUUUAAAAAUAUAUAUAGUUUCCUUUGGUGUAUGCCAUCUUGGUCAUUAGGAUGAAACUGUGCUGCCUAAUAAAUCAAGCUUCGAAGACUUUCAGUGAACCGGUUGAUUUGAGAAACCAAGUUUGCAGUUACUAUCAGAUAGAACUCUUUAUGUUCAAAUCAGUACCCAGCUGAAACAGUGGGGAGAUUCUCAGCAAGAACAGACCAAAGCUUACAUGUUUCACCCUAUAUUCAGUGAUUUUUUAUCAGUUUUAUCUUUGAGAAUUAAAUCCUACUCUUUUAGUUUCACUGAUUAGAUUCUUAGUGUCUUGCUGUCUCUUUUAGUUUCAGGCACUACUACUCUUCAAACUGACCUUUAGUGCUUAGUCCACUGGGACCUGAAGGUUCUUGGUGAUCCACUGUGGCCAUAGUUCUAGAUUCCUAUUGCUCUGUUGAUUUUUGACCAUUUGAGACCAAAGUGCAUUAACAGCACUAUCCUUUUAUAACUUUUUUUACUUUUAACUCAUUCAAAUCAAAUAUCUAAUAUUAAUGAGUAUUAAUAUUAACGAAUAUUCUAACUAAUCAUGAUUAACAUAUAUAACAGGUCAGACACCAUGUCAAUCCAAAAUUUUAGCUAUUAGGUUGUUGACAUAUAUAACUCGACUAUUUCAAUAUUUAGCUUCCAUCUUUUCUUCUCGUACAAUAUAUCUAACAAAUGGUUCUGAUUUUUCUAAGGAUUCUGAUAUAGAGUUGGGACCUGUUCAUUAGUUACAUGUACAUAUAUGUUAUAUUGCACCUUUUUUAUGUUCAUCUCUUGAAUUAUGAAAGUAAGAAAAUACUGAGGUUUUGGGCUGCUUGCCUACUCUUGUGUUCCAGGAAAGAAGCAAUCACAACAUCAAGUAGCGAUCUUACCUGACUAAAUGAGAAUACGUUGGCUUGGGCUAUUUGCCCACCAAGGGAUCACAACAAAAGGAGGUAUUCUUGCUAUCGAGGUCAGGACUCCCAGGUAAGAAAUGUUUGGUGACUUCUUACUUGAGAUAUGCUGUUGAUUGAAUUUUGAGAAAGUUAGGUUGUAAACUAUUUAUCAAGACAAUUUUAUAUAAAUUAUGAUAAAAAGGAAACAUAAGUAGCGAUCUUACCUGACUCAAUGAGAAUACGUUGGCUUGGGCUAUUUGCCCACAAGGGAUCACAACAAAAGGAGGUAUUCUUGCUAUCGAGGUUAGGACUCUCAGGUAAGAAAUGUUUGGUAACAUCUUACUUGAGAUAUGCUGUUGAUUGAAUUUUGAGAAAAUUAGGUUGUAAACUAUUUAUCAAGACAAUUUUAUAUAAAUUAUGAUAAAAAGGACACCUAAACACAAUUUCCACAUUCUUAUCGUUCUUUUCCUUUCAUUCUUGGUGGUUCCAAUCAUAAUAAUGGUAUGUUUCUUUGAUUCGUGUAUUCUACUGCCCUUCCCUUGAUGGCUUAAUUCCAGUUUCACAGUCGUCGUGACAGUUCAACCACAAAAUUUUUACAUGCUGCCUUUAUUAUUGGGAUCCAUGUGUUGAUAGUGAAAUGACUGCCGUUCGUUAAUGCACAUGAUGUACUGCCAUAUCGGCAAUAGCAGGAGAUAUAAUACAGCUGUCUUUGUUUUCGUUCAGGUGGCUGCCAAUUUCUCUGCUGCUACUGAUUUCAAGCUUAUGCAUCUCGUGACCUGCGGAGCCAUGCUUGGUUCUGUACCGCAACUUUUUUCUAACGCCUUUAACUGGUAUUCUUCUUUUAGCUUUGGCGACUAACUCGGGCCCCUUUUGGGGUUACUUCUGCUUUCUUUUUUUAGUUUACUUCUGUUUUUGUUGUUUUAACGAAUAGGACCAAUUUUGCUGACGAUUUGAUGUUCUUUGUCUUCUUUUAAAUCGUCAACAGGUCGAAGGAGAGAAAUCAUUCGAUCAUCCAGCAGAGAUUAUUGGCCACCGAGGGGUAAGUCUUUAAUAAUUUCGAAGCCAAAGUUUUUACUUUUUAGAAUUCCUUGAAACAAUGAAUUUACCAAACAUGGGUCUUACAUCGGUUUUCCAUUUUCUAGGUGUGUGUAUAAUCUCUCAAGUUCUUAGUUGCAUUCCCCUAUCUUUUUUAUUGAAACUAUUACUAGGCCUUGAUCAGUCAAGUUCAUAGGUCUAGGGUUUGACUUCGGACAUGAGCUCGAAGGAACUAAUUUUGAAAAAUAAAAUAAAAAUCACUAAACCAAACCCAAACUCUUAAGGGUGUUCGUCAGCCGACCUGGUCAAGAAUCGUGACUAACAGAAUCAACCAUGGUAUGGUUUCAAAUUUGAAAUCUACCAUGUAAUUUUGACCUGGAACUUGGUGGUAGAAAGCAGAAGCAUGAUCUUAAUGCACUCAUACGUAAAUUGAAAUGUCAUAAAUUUUUGCAUAAAACAUGAUGGAGUACAAGUAAUUAUAUACUUGACAAGGAAAGGAAUGCAAUUUUCAGAUUUUUGCAUGAACAAGAUUUAAAACAUCUGGCCGAUCAUCGUGUGCUGUAAAGGCCUUAUGGUCUCGAUAGGGUGCAUAAAAAAUUUUCAAUCGGAAUAUGGCAUGAUCUCGAAAUUGUUCCUCAAAAUCUGUGGAAUUUCUCGAGUGCUAGAAACAUCUAAAUCAUAUUUUAAGGUGAAAAGUAACCUCAGCGCCGUGACUUGCUGGUCACCUUGCGACCAGCCUGACUCAUCCUUUUUGGUAUUUUCCCGUCUUUUUACUCUAUCUUGUAGUGAUUUAGAAGCAACCAACGGAAAGAAAACCCAAGUUGGCUUUCCUUUGUAGACAUAAAGCAGAUUGUUACAUUAAGAAAAGCUACAAGUACCGGAUAUGUAAUUACACUGUAGAACUGGAUGAUUCAAACUAAGGGAGAGAGAGAGGUGUUGUAUAUAUAAGAUAUUCCUUUCAUUUGUAUGAAAAUAGACUGAUAAAGUCGUUAGUAGGUGGUAAACUUGCCAUGAUAAAAUAAGUGAGAGCCACUGACAUGCUUCAAAAAGAAACGAGUCACAAGUAUAUGCUUCGGAAUGGUGCAACUGUUUUGCUUAUUGGAAGUUGGAAAGAGGUGUUAGGAGAGUUCUACAGAGAUAAUGAUGUAUGCCUCUGCUACCAGUGAUGUGAGAUCAAAUCAACUUCGACUGGCAGAUAUAAAGUAGAAAAACAGAACGAGAAUAUUACCCAUCCAUCAGUUUCCUCGUGGAGUAGGAAGAACCCAUGAAACUCAGGAUAGAUAGCGCCUCUAGACAAACAGAACACAAGUUCCUACUUACCCAUGGCGCUAUCCCUCCUGAGCUUUACAGAUUCUUCCAUACUUUUGCCAUGCUGGUGUGCCAAAACUACAAAUUAUUGUAGUAGCCCAUACUAGCUAGUUAUGAAGAAAGGGAAGAAAAGUCUGUGUUACAAAAGAAAGGCCAGGAAGAAACAUCUUCAAGGAGGAGAGGAAGUAGAAGAAGAUAGAGAGUUGCCUAAACAAAUGGAUAGAUGAGAUGAGAUGAGGAAACCUUCGGUGCACUGGGUCUUAUUUAUAGUUGGGCUCUUGGAUGGAUGGUGGGUUGUAUGUGUGGAUUUAGGAGGUGAAGACAAGAGUCACAGGUCUGGAUUCUCGGAGGGCGAAAACCCUUGACUUUUCAAAUAACAAAAGCCUUGACUUAAUAAAAAAAAAAGUAGAAAAGGGUGUACGAUGGACAGAUAUAGAGAGGUUGGGGGAGGGGGGGAGGGGGGGAGGUGGGAGGGAAGGCUUUGUCCUCUAUUCUAUUAGGAGAUGUAAUUUUCUCCAGCUGGACCAGUCCUGCCGACUACGUUAACCCGCUCCCUAUGCAAGGUGGUACUACAUAUGCCUUGGGAAAAAGGACUGCUUUUACCAACCUCUGUAUGUGAUUUAAAUGCACUGAAACGUUGUGGUAUCAUCUGGGGCAUUGGUCGAGUUGGUGGAAAAUACAGUUUCACCAAUGAUUUCUCUCUGCUGCAGACUGAUUUCUGACAGUAGACAAUAGUUUUUCUCUUCACCUCUGUGAGUUUUAUUCUUGGACUGUACAGGAACGCAAGGCCAUCGGCUCUAGGCAUUUCACCAGAUAGCUUCACUGUAUUAAUGUCCGGGAAAGGUGGAACUAGACUUUGGGCUGUAUGAUAGUAGGUAGUUGAUCGAUGGUCCAGUGGUACUGGAAUGACGUUGAUGAGGUCAUAUCUUCGUUAUAGGUAGCUCACAUCUGGAUAUUAGUAUCUUUCCCAUCUGUAUACUAUUUUUCUUUUUAACGCUCAAGAUGUGUUGGUUGAGAUGAAGAACUGCCCGUAUGUUUUUUAGCUGGAAUUAAGAAUAUAUACGCCUCAUUAAUUGAUCAAUGUUUGUUUCUGUAUCAUCCACAACUAACAUUGGUCAAUGUCUAGAAUACUGACCAUCGAACCUCUCUAUGAACAUUGGUCAAGCUCUCGGACUGGAACCGACAGACAAGAACCAUCUUAAUUACUUUGGGUCCCCAUGUAAAUGCAAAGAUAUGAUCAAUAUAUUGCCUGUCCUUGUCAUAUCUUCUUUCCGAUCUAGUAUCUCACCUAUUAAGUUAAAAAUUGACGAGGAAGAACCUAUUUCUUCUUCUAAAAUGAGAGAUUAAGGCAAUCUGAGCUAUUUUUCUCCGCAUUAGUGUUAAGGGUUUGUUACAACCAAUGGACUAUAGGAAACUAUAUAUCCUUUGUUUUGUUAUUGUGUAAAGAGGAAGCAACACUUUACUCGAUGAGAAUCUUAACGAGUUUCUCCUUUUGAUCUGACGAGAGCUGCCAACCGAACUAUAUGUGCAGCUCUUGCUAAAAUUGACGAGCGCGAUCUGAUCCAACCUUUCAUUAUUGUUGGGAGUACUCUCAUCAGCCUCAACUGUAACUAUAAAAAACAUUUCACCUGAGCCUGCAGCAUGGGCUUUAGCGUUUUUGACCGGAAGGACUGUGUCUAACCUAAUAAGCAAGUAACAUGAAUCCUGGAUUAAUGUCUGUGGUCUACUCCACAAAUUUCUUUGGGUCGUCUCUUGUGUACACGGAUUGUUAGGAUUCGUGUAAAAAUCAUACAUAAAAUUACACAAUAUGAUACGGAAAUUUAAUUUGUUUAGCAUUUCAUGAUUACUUCAUUGCUUCUAGAAGUCGAAAGCUGUCAGCAAUUAUUGCUUUUAGGGAUUAUGACACGGUGUUUUUUGGGUGUCUAUCAUAUAAUGUUUUUGAAACAGAAAUAUAUUUACCUGUCUCUGUUGUAAUUUUUUUUAAUGUUUAUGUUGCUCUUAUAUAAUGUUAAUUAUUUUGGUAGUGUCCUCUCCUCUCUGUUUGCCGUAGUUAAACAAGCUUCGAGCGUAACGCUCUUUCCAUGUGACCGGUGAGUGCCUAAGUAGCUCUUAGAUCUUUUUCUUUGAUGGAAUUCUCGAGGGUACUCCUAAUUAAUUGACAGGCAAAUACGUAGCCCUCUUUUUUCUUCCUCGGGUUAGGGUCUCCCUGGUUGGCCGCGACAUGAUCCGCACGUAAAUGGCGAGUCUUGUCACGCCCACAUGACUCAUUUAUGAGAGCCUGCUGGUGAGAGGUGAUCUCGGAUGUGAUGCCACUGAUGGCGACUUCCAUACGUUAUCCCCAUUAAUCACAAGGUUUCGUGAUCAAAGAUCAUGGUAUUCAGUCACAGAUUGUCUAGAAAUAUACAUAACUCAAACCUAGCAUUUUUUUUCAUUGUAUUUCCCUCGUUGUAUUAACUAUAAAAGGAAGCCAAAAAAAAAAAAGUGAGAGAGAGAGAGAGAGAAGGCCGUUCUCAUAUAAAACAAAUUUUGCAAUAUAUUUUCUAUAGACAAAUUCUUUUGGAGAAGGAACUAGGCCUUGGAACAUAGGUUAAGAGGUAUCACAUGCUCAUCUUAAAUCUCACACUAGUCCUGGCUUACUAAGGUAUCACGUGCCAAGUCCAAGUAGUGUGCUUCAAUUUCUAAGGAGGGAAGGAUGUCGAUGUAUGUUUAUAUUGACUUAUUUGUACAAACAUCACUAUCUCGACACGGUUGCUUCAGGCUUCCUAAUCAAUAUCAUUACGUCUUCGUCAAGGCACUAACAAAGCUAUGCUAGCGUGAUAUUCGGCCUCAGAAGAUGUUAAUUUCUUAAUAUAGAGUACUCUAUCGUUGAAACAUUCGAGAUUUCUUUAAUGCACUUAAUUGUGUUUGCUCAUUCCCAAGGGUGAUCAAGAUUUGGAAACGGUCGAUUUUAGCUUUAGAUCGGGGAGAGCAUACGAUUACUGUGAUAGAUUGUAGUUUGAAAAUUUGUUAAUAAAAAACUGGGUGACAUUCUUGAUGUAAAAGGGUGAGACCAACUAGUUGAGGUUUGUGUGAUAGUGACUUGAGAUAUUGUAUAUCGAGAUAAAAGUUUUUUGGGCUUGGUAUUCACUUCCUCUAUCAGAGUAAAUUAUUUUAAUGGUAGAUUGAAAAAAGUUCUCGAUCAUCUUUCUAAAAUGAGUAAACAUCGUGAUGAUUUCAUAUUUAUUGGAGCAGCAAUAGAAGUAAAAACGGUUGAUUAGGUGAUUUAUGAAGCUGAAACUACUUGUAGAUAUUGUCCUUAUUCUGGCCUCGGACCAAAUUGUAGAUGCUUGGAUGCUUUCGUGCUUAAAUCAUUUACAAUAAACGAGAAAGAACUAAAUAAAUAUGUUAUUUUGUUUACUGAAUUGAGAAACAUAAAUAAGAUUUUUUUUAAUAUAGAUAAGUUAUGUAGAUUAUAAGUAAUAUGAUGAGAAGCAUUAGAGUUAAUAAUCAAUGAAUGAGCAAUGAAAGUAAUCAUGAUAUUUGUUUGAAGCCAAUUGAGUGUAGUAGUAGGCUUGGUUAAGACCGACAAACUUUUGUUGUGUGUCUAGUUUUGUUAUAGAGCUAACAGAUGACUUUUUGUUAAUUGUUUUUGUUGAGAUGCUAGAAUUAUUAAUAAUUAUAGUAUAAGUUAUAUUUUAAAUUAUUUGGAUUGAAGUUAUUAUUAUGAUUGAAAGGUUGAUAAUGUAAUGGAGGAUGAUGGUUCUGUGUGUUUCUCAUGUGUCCAGGAGAUCUUGUUUGGUCCUUUAUUAUAGAGGAUGAUAGCUUUUAUUUUGAUGAAAACAAUACAAUAGGGAAGUACUAUUGCUAAUUAUAUGUAAAAUAUAAAAGUUAUUAUUAGAUUGUCUUUAAUAGUUCAUUUCAUGAGAGAUGAAGAAGUCAUUGUUCAUACUCUCAAUAGCCUAAGAGACAAAUAUAAAGAACCGAUGGUAGCAAUGCGGGCACAAGAUUCAUCAUUUGAAGAACUAUAUGAUAAGUAUAUUAAUCAUGAAACAUAUUUAAAAGUAUAAGAGAGGAUGACAUGAUCAACUAUUAUAGCUCAAUUCAAUUAAAAAUUCAAUAGAAAAAGCAAUCAAAGAAAUAAUAACUUUAUCGAAUGAUUGAAGAAGAUACCUCUUGUCCGUACACGUAGAGCCAUUCUCUAUUGCACUAUCAACUCUAUGACUACUUUGAUUGUUUAUCCAACUAAUUGGAUUGUUGACUCUGGUGCUUCUUGUCAUAUUAUUUUGAUCUACAAAAGUUAUCCAUCCAUAAUGAUUAUGAAGAAACUUAAGACGUCAUUAUUGGUAAUGAUAAUGAAAUUCUUAUUACUCACACAGGUUUCACAACACUUAAUUCAAACACCAAUAUUUUCACUCGAUGAUGUUUUAUGUACACCUCGUAUCAAAAUGAAUUUUAUUUAUAUUUUUUAAUUUUGUAAAUAAAAUAAUAUCUCUAUUGAAAUCUUUUUUGACUCAUUUCUUAUAAAUGAUUUGAGUACGGAGAUAUCUUUGGUUUGAGUCCAAAAUAAAGAUAGCAUAUAUGAGUGGUCAUCAGCUUCAUAUAUCACCUAGCCAAUCACUCUUACUUCAAUUGCUGCUCUAAUUGAUGUAUGACAUCGUCACCUUGGUCAUUCAUCAUCCUCCAUUCAAUAAUAGCUAUUUUUUUUGUUACUCUCUUUCAACUUUCAAAUCAAGUAAAGUUAAAAUUUAUUAUGAUGUUUACCUUAAUAAUAAAAGUCAUAAACUAUUUUUAGAACGUGUUCCAUAUGCUACUUCAAAUCAUUUAAAAUUAUUUAUAUCGAUGUUUGGGGACCUAACCUAAUCACUUAUUUUAACAAAUUUAUAUUUUAUGUCAUUUUCAUAGAUUAUUUUACUAAAUAUACAAUGUUAUCCCUCUCAAAUAUAAAUCUAAAGUUACAGUCAUUGCUAACUUUAGAAAGAUGAUCGAGAACUUUUUUUAGUAUAUCAUUAAAAUAAUUUACUUUCAUGGAGGAGGUGAAUAGUGAGCCUUAAAAACUUACCUCUCAUCCUAUCGUAUACAACAUCUUAAAUUAUCGUGAAACACAUCUCAACUAGUUGGCUCUAUUAAACAAAGUAUCAAUAUAUAGUUGAAUUGGUUUCACUUUUUCUCAUCAAGCCUCCAUGCUCCAAGAGCUUGGUAUACUGAAUUUAGUUUGUUUUUUAUAUCAAUUGACUUCAAACUCUAAGUCUCACAUUUUGUUAUUUCUAUGACAACAAAAGAAAAGUAUCAUAUAUCUCCUAGUACAUGUGAAUGACAUUAUCAUUAUAGGCAAUAAUCUCAUGAAGAUUAAGCAAUUGGUAAAUCGAUUCUCUAUUAAAGAUUUUGAAAUCUUAAGCUAUUUUUUGGGAGUGGAAGCACCGUUUACAUCUUGGACUUUUCAUAUCUCAAAAUACAUUUAAGAUCUACUAUCAAAGGCAAUCAUUCUAUACUAUUGAAUUACUCAAGUUAUAUAAUGAUACUCCUACUAUAGAUCUCAUACAUACGGACAAGUACUUGGCUCUACUUAUCUCUCACAUGUCUAUACAUCUAAUUAGCAAUCAACAUAUUAUCAUAAUUUAUGCAUUGGCUCUCCACUACAUAUUAAUAUGUAGUAAAACAAGUCAUACAUUAUCUAAAAGGAAUUCUCAAUCAUGGACUUGGUCUUUGUAAGUACUUAUCACUUCAUUUUCAUGCAUUCAUCGAUGUUGAUUGGACAGGUAACAUUGAUAAUAUAAAGUUAGAAUUUUAAGAAAUAGAAAACAAUCGCACGAUCCAUCACGGAAGCUAAAUACCAAGCUAUCACUAUCGCUAUUGCAUAAUUCAACUGGGUCACCAAUCUACUAUAGGAACUUGAUAUCACUUCUCAAUUCACUUUUAUAAUAUAUUGUGAUAAUGUUAGUAUUACCUAUCUAUGUGUCAAUCCAGUAUUCCACUUACGCAUAAAAAAUAUUACCAUAGAUUUUUACCUCGUUAGAGAUCAAGUUGUCAAACAUCAAUCACGUGCUUCUCACGUACAUACUUAAUAGAAGCUUAAUAUUAAGGAGGCAUGAUAGAGGCACAUAUGAAAUGACAUUCUUAUAUUUCUUAUAUCCUCAAUCAAUCUAUGAUUUGAUGAUCAAUUAAAGAUUUGAACAAUUGCUCCGAUUGCAUCAUUUAAGUGAGGAAAAUCUCUUCCUCAAAAUUUGUAUAAAUACUCUUCGUCUUAAUGAAAAUUUGAUAAUCACAAGUUUCUCGAUACAAAUCAUAUGUUCUCACUCUGAGUUUAGGUUAAGUACCUAUCUGUCGUCUCCAGUAACACAGAUAUUUAACACUGUUAUCGGUUCCAUAACUCCACCGAAUCUAUAUCCUCUCCAGCAUUCCACCAAGGUUGUUCGGAAAUAUCUUUUUCCGUUUGGACCUUUGAUAAGAGUCAUGGCCUAAGCUAAUGCGAAUAAAAUAUAUACAUUUAUCCUGAGAAAAAAAAUAAAUUAGGUUAUUGUAAUCAUUAGUGACAACUGUAGUCUCAAAUUAAUAAAUAUUUUUUGGGGGUGUAUAUUGGGUGCCAAUAUUAGAAACUCAUUUUGAAUCUAUGUUUGGGUUGGGCCCUUCAGGUCAGAGGUGACUUGUGAGCUGCCAGUACAUGGGCCGUAUUCUGUCUCCAUGUCCCGCGAACGCUGGGUUGGGUCGGGUUGGGUCGGGUUGGGCCGGCCGGCAAUUACAUUACCUCUGCCUUAAUAGACAAGGCUCUUAGGCUUCAUCAUCCGUGCAUAGCUCGUAGUGAUUUUUGGUCACUGUCGUUAACGUCAUGAAACGAGAGUAUAUGAAUUAAGUUGUGAAGCCCAUAAAAGAAUGACUAUUGUUGACCACAUCGUCAAUUUUCGUUUUCAUUAUUGCCACAACCAAUUCUGUCGAUGUAUGUCAUUAUUAUUCUACAAUGUGGCAUUGGCCAAGCCGAGCACAAUAGAUUCUUCCUGCUUACAGUCGUCACGUUCCUAACAUCGAGUUUGUCUUAGUUGCCUUGCAUCAAUCUCCUCGCACAGUAUCAACCUGUGAUGGCUAUGCAGUAAUGGCUUAUAUCAAGUCAUUGCCAAAGUUUUCUUCCCAACAAUUAAGCUAAAUGCAAGGAAUUGUUGUCAAGUCAAUUGACGAGAGGGAAAGGGUGCGAAGGUAAUUUCGGCCCCAUCAACUUGCUGAAUUCUUUUUGAAUUCCUUUUCUCUCUCUCUCUCUCUCUCUCUCUCUCUGUAUCUUUUUAUCUAUUGCAGUAUCCCAACAACAUUAUUCUAGCUUUAAUUGACCUUUCAAUGUCCAACUUUCCUCUCCACAGCCCACUGGAACCUGAAGACCCCACCAGACCACCCCUUCGGGAGCCAAAUGGUCGCGCAGGCCGCUUAAACAAAGUGCAAUAUGCACAACAGUACCGAUCAAAUGGUAACUUCUUUAUGGCCCAAAGUAAAGCUUCUAAGAUGGAGCUUUGGAAGUUGCGUGUUUCAUCACCCCUACUAUAUUAGCCCUCCCUUCCACCAACAUGAACCACUCCUCUCUCCCUCCGCUCCUCUCGCACAGCUGCAACACGAGCGUCGUCGCCAUGCCCCACUCCUCCCCCAAGCCUUCCCCUCCUCUCCACCGCAUCGGCGGCAAGCCGGUCCUGGGGGCGGGGGCAUCGGCGGCCGCAGGCGUACCCGUUCGGUGCAUCGGCCAUGGCGUCCCCGCCGUGGUGUCGCGACAUCACGAGCACGCGGUGGAAGCCCACCAGUGCUGCUCGGCCUUGGUGCAGCACGUCGCGGCGCCGGUGGCCAUGGUGUGGUCGGUGGUGCGCCGCUUCGACCAGCCGCAGACCUACAAGCACUUCGUGAAGAGCUGCCACGUGAUCGACGGCGACGGUGACGUCGGCACCCUUCGGGAGGUCCGCAUCGUGUCCGGCCUGCCGGCGGCGACCAGCCGGGAGCGCCUCGAGAUCCUCGACGACGAGCGCCACGUGCUCAGCUUCCGGGUGGUCGGCGGGGAGCACCGCCUCGCCAACUACCGCUCCGUCACAACCCUCCACCCGGAGGCCGAGGGGUGCACGGUGGUGGUGGAGUCGUACGUGGUGGACGUGCCGGCGGGGAACACCAGGGAGGACACGCGCGUCUUCGUCGACACCAUCAUCCGGUGCAAUCUCCAGUCCCUGGCGCGCACAGCCGAGAACCUGGCCAAGUAAUUUCCCACCCAAUCCAACCCUGUGGCUGCCCAUCUUCUAAGCUUCCACCGCCACCACCCCUCUUGCAUGCCCACUCGGAAGCAGACGACGACAUCUCAGAACAACUGCUGAGCCCGGCAACAUCGGGAAAUUUUGAGGAAAGAGAAAAGAAGAGAGAAACUCUUCCAACUCGUUCCUAUCUCUUGUUUUGUCUUCUUUGUUUCGGUCACAUGAACCCUUGCGGAUAAAUGCUAUGUAGUUCUGUCUAUACAUAAACCCUCCAAGAAAGCAAAACAGAUGUUUCUUGGAAUGCUAGCUAGCUUUAUUUACCUUAGUCUCUCUCCCUCUGCAUUGUGAUCCUGAUCAGUCUGUGCUAUCUUCUCUGGUCAAAAGUAAUGGGUUGUAAGCUUCGGAGUAAUGGAUGUCGAAGCACAUGGGAUGGGGACACUGCUGUAGCAUGGUUAAAGAAUGGUGCAGCACCACAUGGCUGGCUCCCUUGCAAAGCUGCAUUAGUCUUCUAUAGAGCCUCUGCCGACGCUUUCACUGAUAUGCGAAUUCUUCGUCUACUUCUCCGACGCGGAUUCACCAUCAGUGGGGAGUGCAGGUGGGCUCCACGCCUCGUCGGCAGGAGCGCCACAUCUAUGAUCUGGUGGCAACCGUGAAUGACCGAUGAUUGGGUCGAUGAGGAUCGCGGGAUUAGGUGGAGAGCACGAGGAUCCACGUGGGCGUGCGUGGCGUCUGACUUCCGAGGUAGAAGAUGACUUGUCCCCGUAUAUCGCUUCCGCUGUCGCCAAUUACCAUGUGGUGUGGUAGCGUUCGAAAAGGGUAGGAUUCCACGAUCCUUCUCUCCCAACUUGUCUCGCAAUUUGCACAAACAACUGAGACCAAUUGAGUUGGGGUAUAUAUAUAUAUAUAUAUAUAUAUAUAUAUAUAUAUAGAGAGAGAGAGAGAGAGAGAGAGUGGAAUCAUCGAGUGCCAUAUUGCAAGCCAAUUUGCCGUCGAGAAGCGGCAUAAAGAAGUGCAAGUUGGGAUGGCCUCCUCCAGUCCAAUGGAUAGUUUUGUAGAGCCCUCCCUCCCACUUGUUCCUCUAAGGGUUCUUCUCGUCUUCCUCUUGUCUGCCCGUUCUCUGUGUCGGUUGGUCUUCAGUUGGCAGCGAAUGGAUGGCUGCAAGUUGCGUGAGGCUUCAUGCUUACCGUUCGUGGCCAACUGCCUUUCUCCAUCACUUCUCCCAAUCCUUUGCUCAGAAUUCCACAAUGCUGCUGCCGACCACCAUGGUUUUCUUCUCUGUUAAGCUUGCUUAUUCCUUCACUUUAUGCUAAUCUGGGGGCGCACUGCCUGUUCUCGGCUUCCUUUGUUAGGACAGCAAUUCCCGGCAUGCGUUGCAAUUAUUUAUGCUGGCGGAAUCAUGCAAUUCCUAUUCUGUAGCACGAGAGAAAGGACUUCAAAUGGUGAAAUGGAGCCCUUCCUGUGAAUAAUGCCUCGAUGAUCAUUCACAUGGACAAACCCUCUCUUGUAGUGGCGAAGGUGAUGCAACUAGUAUUUAAUGACACAGCCUUCCAUCAGCUUGCCUUUUUCUAUUGCAACAUUCAGCGAAGCAGGUGGCGACCGAGCCCUGCCCGGAUACUGAUCGAUCUCGAGGACCACAGCUAGCUAGGCGUGCAAGUGGAAUUAAUGAGCCACGACGACUGGCAGUCGUAAAAGAUAGAGAUCCAGGGAUUCUGAGACGGUCAACUCGUUCUCUCCCACAUCCACCACGUACGAGUUGAGUAAAUAGAACAACCCCUCACCAGGAGAGAUCCGUAGGGAAAACUUGUUGGAUACAGCAAAGUGCACGUACGGCACUGCCUUUUGUCUCUACUUCCCACGUCACUAUUAUAUUCUGCCAUAUCUUGUGUCUGAUCUCCCGGGAGUUGAUAAAUGCCAAGUUGCCGAGAAAGAGAUCUGCAUGCCCCCAUCGAGAUGAGAUGGGGUUGUAGAUCAACAUUCCCGUGAGUCAACAAAGUGCUGUUGGCUCGUGAUAGAAUAUAAGGGCGUGACGAUGGACGCGCUAAUCCUUGCGGCCACUUGUGUUGUUCCCUCCUCCCUUGACAUCUUCUCGCCGAGGAUGUCCUCCUAUUCAUCUUCUUUAAUCUCUCUCUCUGGUUAAUUAGGUAGAGACAAAGCCCAGAGAUUUAUUGGAUCAGAAAGAAAGAUUGGAGAUGAUUCUUUGUCGUGGGAUCUGAAAAUUCCAGUGCUGUUGUAGCUCAGAUAAGCACACUUCCUACUGGUUCUUAGUUUACGUGAGAACAGCAGAUCACAAGGCUAUUAUAAACUCAAAAAAUAAUAUGUAAGAGAGAGAAGAGGAUGUUAAUGACGACAAAAAAAUGUCAGAGAAUCCAUUGGUGAACUUUUUGUGCUUUUUAGUUGGGACCUCUCCUCAAGGAAAGAAGAGUUUAGCGUACAGGAGCUCAUUCCAUGUAUCUUGCAGGCCGGGCAAGCACCAAUGGAUGCAGUCUGCGUAGCUUCUGGGGUUAGCCAGCUGCUCCGGCGUCAACGGGCUCCACUGCUUCUUGUAUAUCUGGGUGUGUGCAUCUUUCCGGUACUCCGACAGUUGAGUAAUGUUGAGCAGAGUUAUUGGCACUUUGGUAGCGUCGAACACCUCUCCGAUCACCUGCAUCAUGCUCUUGCUCGUGCUCGUUCCCCAGUACGUAGCGUCCUCGAUGGGAGUCGUCUCGUUGUAGCAGUUCCCUUGGGGUUCACCUCCCCACUCUUCGCUACUGCAAACCAUCCAUCCCAUCUCAGUUGUUGUGCAUCCAAAUGGCAGAGCAUAUAUAUAUAUAUUGUCAUUGUACGACCUGUGGUGAGAAGGCGACAUGCUUGUGAAGAACACUCUGGUGCUGCGAGGAUCCAUGUUCUUCUCCACCCAUUUCAGCAUCCUCCACAAUGCCAGCCUAUAAGCAUCCUCCGUCACCAUAUCGGUGAUGUUCUUCGGGUCACCUCCAAAGGGCCCUCGCCUGCAAGCGGAUCAAAGUCAGUCGAGACGCCAACAACAACAGAUGGGAUCAAGGAAACAGAGUCGAGGCUCCUCGGUUACAGAAUCUUCAUUUUGCGGCCGGCCAUCCACCAAAGGUAUGUGUUGAAGACGACGAUGUCGGCUCCCUUCCAAUGGCGAGCGUGCUUCAUGAUGGAACCCGGUCGGACGAUCCGCUCUUUGAUCCUGUGGACGAGGGCGUUGUCGGAGUUGGAUUCCACCAGAAACGGCGCCCAGUAGAACUCGAUCGUCGCAUUGUAGUCCUAUCAUAAGAACGAUGGUCGAUUUCAGCGGCAGUGCAGGUGGGGAGGGAGGUGGGAAGAGACGAUGGAAGACGACCUGCGGAGAUGCUAACCUUGGCCGUGAAGACCAUGAACGAGUCAAAGGAUUCCAUGGAUUUGGCGUGCUCUGGAAUGACCCGAUGCAGGAGGCACACCAUGGAUACGAAUUGCCCCCGGUUCAAGGAAUCACCCACGAACAUCAUCCGCUUGCCUCGAAGCAUUUCCAGCAUUAAGGUGGCGUCGAAGCUGUCAUCCAUGACGAAAUGGACUCAAAUCGCUGAAAUUGAUCUUUCGAAAGAACAAUCAACCAUUGACGAGGUUAACCUGCAAACUCUUAUCACACCUUCCCAUGUCUCACGUCCUAAUCCCCGAGUAGUACAUUCCCGUGUGCCCAAGCGUGGGCCAAAAUCCUUACAUUACUAUCAACGAUGGCACAGAAUGUUUUGUCGUCACAAAGGACGGCGUUCGGCCCAAGCCCAACUUAUGGUCCAUACGACACCUUUGUCACCAAGCUUACAAGGACACCAAGGAAGAGGGGUUGAUUACAUUCCGACGCAUAUGCGUUCGAGAAUUCUUAAGCAUCUCACGGGCAAAUAUAUCUUCGUGUGACGACGGAACCAUUUGUCUUUCACUACCGAUCAACCAAACAAAACCAGAGAAAGAAAAAAAGAAAGAAAAAAAGAUGGAAUCGAGUCGCCGUCGGCGGAAAAGAAGCUAAGCCGUUUGUAUCGGCAGAUGCAGAAAGAUAGAUAGAUACCUGGGUAAAGAGCAGCGAUGCGGCUGCCAUCUCCAGUGCUGGUAGCCGGAGUCGGGCCUGCCGUGCGUCUGGCAUGUCAGCUGGGGCUGGAUGUAGGGGCAGUCCUCCUCGCCGUAGUGCGGCCUCGAUAACUCGUCGUACACCCAUUCCCCCGCGAAGACAUCGCAUCCCUCCUCCGUCUUCCCCACCGCGAACGGCACCACCGCCUCGUCCUUCUCUGUUCCGAAUCAACAUCGACUCGGUCAGUCAGUCAGGCUAUUCAUCCAUACGCAGUAAUUCACAACGAAGUCUCGUUUCCUUUCUCUCUUUCGAACCUCUCGGGACUCUUCCUUGCUGCUGCUGCUGCGGCGGUGGAUCAUCUGGUCGCCGGAAUGGAGUGCCGAGGAUGCACGUGAAGUCCUCGCCGUAGAGGACGAUCACGAAGGCGACGAAGGAGAAGACGAAAAGACGGGUGCGGAGGUUGCGCCUUCUAUGGGGGAACGGCGACUUCAUCGACGCACACCCAGCGACGCAGCUUUUGGUCGGCCUCUCCAGAUUGCGAAGGCAUUCAUUGAAGGCUUCCGGUGGCCUCUUAAUUAAAUGGUCACAAGGCUGUAUACAUGAUUUGACAUAUUUAUCCUUGUGAAUAUAUAUAUUUUUUUAUGAAAAUAAAACUAUAUAUAUAUAUUUAUUUAUUACUAUACAUAUAUAUAUAUUCGAACUUGACAUAUAUCAUUGCACGACAAUACAAAUUAUUCUUCAAUACAAUUUUUAUUUUUCAUGAGAUUAAAAGGGAUUCAGAGUCGAGAUUCCUUAUCUGAGAAUAAAUUAUUAUUAUUAUUAUUAUUAGUUCACAAGGAAACAACCAAAGGAGUGCAGGGGGAGUGUAGGGGGACAGGUCACGCAUGGAUCCCUCGCUGUGGUGACAACCGUCCAUCUAAUAAGAUACUAAGAAGGAAAAUUCAAUGAAGUUUACAAGUUCACAAUGCUCUCUCUCUCUCUCUCUCUCUCUCUCUCUCUCAUGUAAGUAAACUUCUCCAUGACGAAAACAUAGGAUAUUGGGCAUGAAUCGGUCCAUGUGAAGGCCAUAUAUUUUGGCAGUAGCAUCGUUGGUAGGCAGAGUCAUUUGCCAUCGCACGGCAUGAUUCUAAUGUUUUGAUCCAAGUCUGACACAAAGAAACAAGACAAAAAAAAAAAAGGAUCAUUUUGGCGGAAUAAAUGAGAAAUAUGUGCGCCGAACGAAUGAGAAAUAUGGGCUCAUUCAUUUUUGUUCUCUCAUGUCCGGAGAAAGUGGGGCCGCGUGUUCCGUCGAUUUCAACAUGGCAUUAUGAAGCUACAUAGGUUGGUGAAUCAGCGUAUGUAUGUAAUGGGACGAGAACACAUUAAAGGUGGUGGUGGUGGGGUUGGGGUGGUUGGCUUUUUGGUGGGGAAAGUAAUAUUUAAUUUGAUGCACACGUCAACGUUUAAGUCCAAUUAGUUGGGUGACAUGCAUGUUAGGACGGUAGCAUUGAUUUAAACUCGUGACGUCUAUGCAAUGGGCUUUCCUUUUAGAAUGAAAUUUAGAUUACCUUAAAGACUUGUAUUCCAUGCUUCUCGAGGGUUUAAAUGAGCUAAUUUUACAUCCAUAUGAUGAAACUUUUUGAACUCCUAAUAAAAUUAGCUACGAAACACAUGAAACUAUUUAUAUUCAACAAAUCAUUUUGCUAGGUUGAGUAUUUUAAAAUAAUUAAUAAAAAUCAAGGGAGAUUUUAAGAUUGUUGCUUGUUCAAAAUCUUGAAGAGGACCUUGCUAUUUUUUUUAACUUCUAAUAUUGAUGUUUUAGUUGAAUAGCAUGUUUAAUUUUAAUCUUAAUUAUCAUCGAUUUUACCUAGCCAAUAAGAUGCUCAAAUUAGUUCCAAACUAAAGGUGAGAGUUUUGAGUAAAUAUUAAUUGUCCUCAAUUAUAACGAGUUUUUAUGGUAUAUUAAAUUCAGAAGAAUAUUCUAUAGUAUUAUUGGAAUUUUUUUAAAAAUUAACAUCCACAUGGCUCGAUUGUUGGCUAUGACUUAUUCCUACUAGCUAAUUGUUGUUACCUCAUGUUCGAGCUAUGAUUGAGCGAAUUCAUUUUCUCUAUCAUUUAUCCUCUAGAAAGUAUAGUUCGAGAGCUUUCUCAAAGAGAUUUGGAAGUACAACCAAGUGUGGCUUGGCACACUAUUGAUCAAUGCAUUAGACACCAUCCAAGCCUAUCUCGAGGGAGAUGACUUGAGUGCUUUCCCAAAAGGGUGUAUCUGAAAUAUUUUUUAUGCUUAACUCGAGAGGAAUCCAUUACACAUAUUGUUUUUCCUUAGCCUGAUAAAGAUGUAUCGGGCAUAUUUUUAUGCUUAGUCCGAGAAAAAUAUAUUAGAUAUAUAUUUUAUACUUAGUUCGAAAAGAACACAUCGAGUAUAUUUUCGAUGCGUAAACCAAGAAAGACAUUUCGGACAUAUAUUUGAUGCUUAGUCUAAGAAAGACACAUCAAAUGUAUUUUCAAUGCUUGGCCCGAGGAUAACUUAUUGAAAAUAUUUUCAAUGCUUAGAUCAAGAAAAAUGCAUCGAAUGUAUUAUGAAAAGUAUAUCGAGUGCAUUUAUGAUAUUUGAUGCUUAGAUCAAGAAAAAUGCAUCGAAUGUAUUAUGAAAAGUAUAUCGAGUGCAUUUAUGAUAUUUGAUGCUUAGACCAAGAAAGAUACAUCGGAUGCAUUUUCAAUGCUUAACUCAAGAAGAAUACAUCAAAUAUAUUUUCAAUAUUUAGCCUAAGAAAGUCAUAUCAGAUAUGUUUAUGAUGCUUGGUCCCGAGAAAAAUGUAUCAGACACUUUUUUUUUUAUGUUGAACUCAAGAGCUCAUUUUCGAUCCUUGACCUAAGAUAGUACACAAUAUAUAUAUAUAUAUAUAUAUAUAUAUAUAUAUAUAUAUAUAUAUAUAUAUAUAUAUAUAUAUAACCUAACGCUAUCAUGAAAACAACAAUCGACACGAUUUUAUUGGUAAAAAUAUUUAGUAUAUUUUUUUCCUUGUCUUUUUCUUCGUAUUGUAUUGUGGCUUAUGGACAACAGUAUGUCAAAGGAAACCGGUGCUCGGCUCAGACUUAAGCUGAACUAUCAUUGUCAUUGUCAGUGCAAUUGAUGACACUUGCCAACAAGUCAAAUCGUAAGGUUUGGUACACCCAAUUCCAACCUUGGCGACACUCGAAACAUUAAUUCCCAACCACACCAUGUACAAAGAAGAUGUGAAACACAACUGAAUAGUACGAUCGGCAUAGAUAGAUGAUGAGUUAAUUUGUGAUCCAUGAAAUUUAUUCUUAAAAAUGUUGGAGUGAUCGAGUCCGAACGAUAAGAAUCUUUGGUGAACGAAAUGUAAGGGUGGGUAGUGAGUUUUCUAUUCGUUUCUAUCGUUAUAAUUACGUCCUUUUCUAAAAGAAACCAACAUUAAUUAGAAUCACUUAUGUAGCAUUGACCAAACUUUGAAUGUGCGCGAUUUAGGUGAGGAGAGGAAGCAACUUCCAUUAGGUAAGAGGACUAUAGUAUUCGUGAACAAAUGUGUCGUGACUGAUUAGUCAGUAUAGUUUGGUCCACGAGUCGAUGUCGGGAGCUUUUUGUCGGCUAAACUGGAUGUCGAGGUAGGCCAGGGCCUCUCGAUAGGGUGUUAAUCGACGUUCCUCAGUCAGGGCACUGUUUGCGUUGAGCAACGUCUUCUCCGUCUCCAAGCUGGUCGAUAGCUCACCUUUGUAUACUAGAUGGCAAUUCCCAUGUUGAGAUGCUCGCGGCUCGAUGGUGGUCGUUUUCCUACAAAAAUGACAUUCGUCGAGUGAUUUUCGACUUUGGCCCCUCCGACAAGUUGACGCGUGGGGGUGAAACAUCGUCCCGAGCUUCCGGGACGGGAUAUACCAAACAACGUAUUGGUACGGGUUCUGACUUAGCACGUGGGGAUGCUUCCCUUGCUGACUCGGUUAUAACGCAACGUGACAUCGAUUGUGACAUGUCUUAGACCCAUAAUAUACUAACAUUAACUUGCAUUAGUAUUAGUGCAACUUCGAGUUGGCAUAGCUUGAACGUGUAAGAACAGCACGUCUGCGACAGUCCUUUAAUUAAAGUAAAGUGCGAGGACUGUCCUCACAUCAUUUAUCGUAUCGGGUGGGUUCAUGUGCCGCACGUAAUAAAGAGGCCGACCGGCGAGGCACGCAGAACAGGAGUUGUUGGAGGCAUUCAUGCCAUCUGAGCUGGUGGGGGAAAGACGCGAAAAGAGGUUGUGCAGGCGUUAAUUACUCCUCCACGUUCCACAGUAUAUAUAUAUAUAUAUAUAUAUAUAUAUAUAUAUAUAUAUAUAUAUAUAUAUAUAUAGGAUUAAAUAUUAAUUUAAUUUAACAACUUAAGCUUUUAGGUUAUGGAUUAAACGUAGUGGUAUGGAACUUUCUUCUGAUAACGAUUGCAACAUUAUUUCCAACAACUGUGAGAACGUUGUCUGUUUAUUUAUUAACUUUGUAAUGUAUCUGAUCAAGAUUAAUGGACAUUUCCAAUUGGUUGCUAUGGACAUGAUCGAUAGAAGGAUUUGAUGGUCUUCAACUCAUUGACCAGAUCUAGAGAUGUUUGCUUUCUUUCAGUCGCUUGUGCUUGAAUUCAAUUUAAUUAAAUUUAUUUAUUAGUGUUGAUAAAUAAUGUUGAUAUCAAUUUGGAUGUGCUAUUUGUUUACGUAGAAUUUUAAAUUUUUUAUAAAUCAUAAGAGUUUAAGUAUUUUCACUAGUAAGGAUUUGAAUAUGAGACAGAAAAGAUAAUCAAUUUUGUAAAAGAUUAUGAUUUUAAUAUUAACUAUUAUUCUAAAAAGAUUAAAGUCUUAUAGUUUAUAUAAAUAUUCAAAGAAAUUUUGAUGAUGAUAAAUUUGAUAUAUAUAAAGAUUGAAUUUUUAACCAAGAUAAAUAAAGAUUUCUUUUGAUAUUCUUGAUGGCAUAAUUAUUUUUGGUAGAAGAUAUUAAAGAAAGUCAUUCAUUAAAAAUGCAAAUAUCAAAAGAGACCCACAUAUCAAGAUUUAAUAUCUAUUCUAUAACUAUCAAGAUGUUUGCAUUAACUGGUGAUAUAGUAUAAAGAGAUAUAGUAAAGUUUAUCUCUAAAUAUGUGAUUUGCUAAUAGUGAAGAUAAAAUAUCUAAUACCUACUAGAAGAUUGUAAAAGAUUUUAUUUCCCGAGUUAAAUGAAAAUAUGUUACUAUAGAUUUUUUAAUAGGACUAUCCAGGACUACGAAAUAAUACAAUGAAAUUUAGGUAGUAGUGGACAGACUCAAUAAAUUUAUUCAUUUUUUUUUCUAAGAAGUAUCCCUUGGAUAAGCUAACAAGUUUUUAUAUUAAGGAGAUCAUUACACUAUCUCAAAUAGAUAUCAAAGAUUUACCUUCAAGUUUUGAAAAAGUUUAUAGAAAUCCUUGGGCACUUUAUACCUAAUUGAGUUUGCUUAUAAUGAUAGCUAUCACUCUAGUAGAAACUUUUUAUAAGGAAAAAAUACAAAUUACUUAUGUACUGGGACGACAAAGUGGGAUAAUAAAAACUUUUCAAAUCUCAAUUGAUUUAAAGAGAUGUUAAUAAUAUUUGAAUUAUAGUGAAGAGAUUUGGAAUUCAAAGCUAGUGAUCAAAACUUUUUAAAGGUAUCACCAACCAAAAGAGUUAUGAGAUUUAUCUAAAGAGAGAAGUUGACGUAUAUUAAUUAGCUCAUUUGAGAUCUCAUAUCUAUAGCAUAUAGAUUGGCAUUACCCUUGAAUUUAGCUCACAUUGUAUUCCUCGUCUCUAUAUUUUAGAGGUAUAUUAAAGAUUCAUCUUAUAUUAUAUCCUACCAACUUUACGACUAAUAAAUGAUGUCACCUUCGUAGAGUAACCAAUCUAGAUCUUCAAUAUAUAUAUAUAUAUAUAUAUAUUGAGGAAUAAAAUUAUAUCCCGGGCAAAGAACUAUUUGCAAAACCAUUCAAAUCAAGAGGUAAUUUAGACCAAAUUUCUUUUAACAUGAGAGAAAUGAUCAAAUCUUCAAUUUAGACUUAUAAAUUAAAUAAAAAUAAAGGUUAAAUACAUAUAAAAAUAAAAAAUCUUACCUUAUGUGGAGAGCUCACCUCCUCCUAUUUAAAGAGAGAGAUUCAUCUUCUUUCCUUCUUUCUGAACCAAGCCUAAUAGUACAAAGAACUAGGAGUUGCAUCUUUUUAAGAAAAGGUAGGUUCUUAUGUCCAAAAAAUAAUUUGUCUGUUUUAAAUGUUGAAAAAUUUAUUUUUAGAUUAAAAUAUAUUAUAAUUAUACAUGCUAUAUGUAAUUUCUAAAUUUUUUCUAUUCCUUUAAUUGUUUGAAAUUUUAUUAUUAGAUUAAAAUAUUUUUAUAAUUAUUCAUGUUAAGUAAAAUUUUAAAAUUUUUUAUACAUUUUAAAGGUUUAAAAUUUUAUUUUAGGAUUAAAACUUAUUAGAAUUAUUCAUAUUAUAUGAUGUUUCUAAAAUUUUAUCUUAAAUGCAUGAUAUUUGAUUUUCAUUAGAUUUAUAUAGUACUUGAUUAAAAAUAUUAUUUUCUUUUUUUAUGUAAUUUUAUUUUUUAAAUAUACUAUUAUUUAUUAUAUUUUAAUUACUCAAUGCUAAUGAAUAAUUUUUUAUUAUAAUUCUAUGAUGUCAUAAUUUAGAAUUAGGGGAGUUGGUUAUAAUUUGAAUUCAAAUCAACUAGCCGACUAAGCCUAGCUAAUAGGCUAGGCCAACCAAUAAGCUUCAACUCAUAAGUCAGCCUCAACCCUAAUCUAUUUUAAAGGACUGCUAUAGAAAUAAUAUCAACACUAAUCUCCAUAACAAACAUAUGGAUAACGAUAGUUGGGACCUAAAUGGAGAAGUCAAGGUCUAUGUUCUCACCCAUUAAGAUAGUGAACUUUUAGAAUCUAUAAGUUAUAAUCACACUCUAUAAAAUGUUUGCUACUAUACUUAUGGAUUCCGAUUUUAUAUAUACUUUUAGAUCAUCUCAUUUUGCUAUAAGACUGUAUAAAAAUUCUAGGAUAAUGAGUAAUACACUAAUGGUAGCAACACUAGUUAAAAAUUCUAUAAUAACUAAUUAUAUAUUUAAAAACUAUAUUAUUGCCAUUAAAAGUCAUGAUUUGGUUGUGAACCUUAUUCUACUAGAGUUUUAGGACUUCGUUGUUAUUUUUGAUAUGAACGAGCUUUCAACAUACCAUAUAAGUGAUGAUUAUUUUUUAAAUAUUAUUGUUUUCUCACACCUAGAUUAAUCAUCCUUUAAGCUCAUUGGAAAUCAAAAAAAUCCUCCUCUUAUUAUUUAAGCAUUGAGUGAUAUCCAAUUAUUAUUAAAAGGAUGUUAAGAGUACUUACUCAUCAUUUCUAAAGAAGAAUUGAAGAUGUUAGUAUUAAAGGACAUCCAUAUUAUAUAAGAUUUUUAAAAGAAUUUUUAAAAAUAAUUAUGCUUUUGUCCGAUUGACAAAGAACAAUGUGAAGUUUUAUAUAGAAUGAUAAGUGUCAAUAACAUUGAUGGGCUACUUAGCCUAUCAAACCUAAAUCAUGACAUUUUGUAUUAGAAUUAAUUUAUAUUUAUCUAUAUUUGAUCAUAGUGGAAGGGCUCAAAUAGAAAAGGACUACAUGUGGAUUAAGUCAGAUGACUCGUCACGACGUAGAGUUACCAUUGUAUUAUACCUAAUAUGCAUCAUAUUAGGAUUUGAACUAGGUUAUGUUGGACCUCGAUAAGAAUAUCAAGUGCUAGAAGGAGAAAAAUCGUAAUAUCCUGAUUAGUCCCACAUUAAAAAUAAAAAUAUUAAAAUUAAUUUAUAAAAAUUUGAUGGAUAUAUUAUUAUCAACUCUAAUUUAAUUAUUUUAAUUAGUAAUUUAAAUCAAAUAAAAUUAUGAUACAGUCAGCGUCGAAAAAGAUUUGUUACUAAAUCAAUUACAUUCAUAAUGAAAUCUUUAAUAGAAUUUGAUUAUAUAUCAAAUUGACUCUUUCUUUCUAUCUUUCUUUUCCAUUUUAUUGCUCGAGUACUAUUUGUCAGAAAUGGGGGGUCUCAUGAAAUCCAAACGGAGGACGAAUGGGGCCACAACGCUCGAGUACUCUCUGGCACAAAAUGGGGAGUCUCAAGUAAUCCAAAUGGAGGAGGACCAAUGGGGCCACUAAUGGACCUGCAACAAUGUCUCGAGUUUCCACACAUCAACUGCAGUCCUCAAGUGGAGAUUGAAUCGGUCACAUGAAUUAAUGAACCGGACAUUGUUGCAGAUGGACACUUGUGAUUUAUAUCCGAGCAGCUGUCCCAAUCCAAUCUUGCCAUUGAUGUCAUUGUGGCCCUCAUCACAUUCUCCAAUUUGUUCUCGGUAGCACUCCUAAAAAGUAAUUUCCACUAGCAUCACAAAUUUCACAGACAACUAUAAUAAUAACGAUGCAAAAAUUAUCUAUCGUACAGAGUACAAAUGGUUCUAAGACCACUUGGCAAGAAUAGACAUGAGUGCUGCUCCCAGAAGGAGAGAGAUGUUCAUGGCAAGUUGUAAUUUGGGUUUGCUCUGCACCCUCGGAUUCGUAAAAUCUUGGGCAAGCAGAUCAACGAGGGCCAUAUAAAUCAAGAUUCCGGCGGAGGCAGAAUCCAGAAGACCUUCGACGACGAGAGCUGUGGGACUGUUUUCGUCGUACACCGAUGAUGUUCCCAUACCUACCGCAAUCCCAACCGGUGUCGUGAGGGAGAAGAAGAGCCCCAUCGUUACCAUUGACUUCAUUUGGUACUUCGCCUGCGACACAAAACCACAAUGCUUUCGCUAGCAAAAAUCAAUCGAAUUUUGAUGUGGCAUUUUUAUGUAAAUCGAUCAUGGCUAGUCUAACCCAACACUCCUCAUUUGAGUUACCUGCACGAUGCAUCCUCCGAGCCCUACACCCUCAAAGAACUGAUGAAAGCUGAGAGCGGCCAGCAGAGACCUUAUCGUAGAUGGAGUCUCCGAUGCGCCCAAGGAAAUCCCAAUUAUUACAGAAUGAACCACGAUGCCGAGCUCCAAAACCUGUGUUGUGCACCCAUCGAAAUCAAAAUCUCUCUGACUGCUUCACGAAGAAAGCACCGAAGAAAUUAUCAACUUGUGCCUCGUUAGAGCAAGCAGUUCAGUGAUUUUACCUGAGAGAUAACGCGAUGGCGGAUCAGCUGCUGAGCCGAAGGAUCCUCGUGAAUGUGACCGUGAUUUGCAUGGCUAUGUACGUGAACGUCGUUGUGCCCGUGCAUGCCGUGGGGAGCCUCCAUGUCGGCCUUGGUCUCAUCGGUCACGGCCGCCGUCCGAGCCCUAGCGCUGUGCGAGCGGCUAAAGUAUCCGGUGGCCACAGUGUCCAUCAUCAGCGUCGCGAUCGCGGCGACCAUCGCGCCGAACCCAGCAAACGGAAACUUCUGCCAAGGACUCGGAUCGAGACACGAGGAGGUGAGGCCGUCGAAAGCGUCGGGGAGGAUGUGGACGAAGCCGGUGGCGAGAAUGACACCGGCAGCGAACGACUUGAUGACGAAGAAGACAUCCUUUUCCGGGUGAAGAGCGGGCCACCAUUUGCCUAAGAUGGGGAUGCAGACGCCGAUACUGCCGCACACAAGGAUGGAAAAUAUCGCUGCAAUCUUCAGCGGGAGGGCCUUCUUCUUGUCACGGCCCGCCUCAUCGGUGGAGCACUCGCAGUCGCCGUGAACAAGCAGAGGAAGAAGAACCACCGCGAGGAAGAAGACCGAGGCACCUCUCAUCAUCAUCUUCCCGGCGCUUGGAGAGAGUCUUGCAAUGGAUUGCCGGGAGGCUGGAGCCGCGUUUGUGUAGAUGGUGGGGUGGGAAGGAGGGGGUUUCGAGGGAAAGAUGCAGCAAUCGAUGAGCACAUGAGUGUCUCCAAACGUUGACUCCGAUGAGGAUAGGAUUUGUGGGCUCGUCUUGUAGCGAGAGAGUGAGGCUCUUCUUUUGUGCAUCAUUCUUCUUCUUCUUCUUUACGUCGUCCAACAUAUAAUAAUACCUUCAUCUCUGCUUCUGCGAUUGAUGUAUUGAAUUCAAGGCAUCAACAUGUUUGUAAAGUGGAGAUCGUCGAUGGGUGCUUCCGUCGGUUGAUAAAUUACUUCUGUGGGUGUCGACACUGUGUUGUCAUUCGGACAGCAGUUUGUUUAUAAUAACGCUCGGCGCCGUGUACGGUGAUAUUAUAUUUAUAUAUAUAAAUAAAAGAGCAAAUAAAUAACCAACGAACUAAUCGAGAACACAGUGGAAAUGAUGCAGCACACGAAUCUUGAAGUCGGAGGAGACAGGUUUUGAUAGUGUAAACAACUUUAUGCUGUGGCCUCGGGACCGACGCGGCUUGGUCGGGGGUCCGAAUGACGGGGAUCUCGCGUAGCGUCCCUCAAGAUCUCUCAGUGGCCGAUCACGGCGGUCCGGUCGGGAUGUCGCAUCGGGAGGAAAGCUUUUGCCACGACGCCGGGGAUAGGCAACCCCGUUCUCGCACCUGCACAUAGGUCAAGUCGGAAGCUCGGCCCGACCCCUCCGACGAUCAAGUCAGUGGAUGCGGAGGGGAUUUUUGUAUGAAGAAGUGCUCUCCCCAUUCAUUUAGAACUUUGAGGUAUUUAUAGGUGAGUUUAGUAUUACCUGAUGUGCCUGCCUGCAGGAGCAGGACCGUACCUCUGAUGGCGUCUGACAUUGCCGUUGGUGUUGCUUGGAGAACCGAAUUGCCGCAGGGUAUGGGCGAGCCUCGGUCGUCGUCCCCCUCUGCCUCGGCCAAGCGCGCGGGGUUAGGCAACGAGGAAGUCGUUAUCUGAGAGCGGGUGACGUCGGCGCACAUCGAGUCGGCAUUAUUGCCCUCCUCCUCGGGCAGAGUGUCGCCCAGGCGUGACUAACGUCGUGGCACGUCAUGUCGCCAUUAUUACCCUCAUCAGGUUUUGUCUCUUGUCGCGGGCUCGAAGGUUGUGGAGCAUGUGAACAUGUACCUAAAUUGCAUUGCACUGUUGGCUCAGCAGUACCUCUCUCUAUGUUGGGCCAUGAAUGAAUACCCACUGGUCUCGAUGACCUUUUUGACCGAGAUUAAGCACACGCCGUGCUCAGGCCGAUCAGACGCCCACGGCUGUGUAAGCUAGUGUUCCCAAAUAGUCAUUAGCAACCAUCGACGGUCAAAUAAAUUGCUUCGCAAGUAACAUCAGCAUUCUAGAAGCGGCCUUCAGGCUUUCGUUUCCGUGUCUCUCUUGUCUCGUCUCCUUCAACCUCCGCACAUGGAUUCUUCAAACCUUUGAAUGCGACAGGGCUGGGAGAUGGAGGAAUCGCGGAGCAGGCGAACGGGAAGAGACGUGCCGUGGCGGCUCACGAACCUCAUCCACAAGGCGCGCGAGGUCACCACACGCCUCCUCCACUGAUGAUUACGAUCGCCGUGACUGUGAAGUUUGGCCGCCAUCGAUUCCUCAAACUACUAUUCAGCGUAGGAAUCCAACUGUUUUAUUCUUUUACGACAUCGACUUUCUUUCCAAUUGAAUUCAUAUAUUAUAUUCUUUGUUAAUCUAUUAUAAAUCGAAGAUGCUCAUAUAAACUAGGACAAGUGCAAUCCACGAAUGUGAUUGUCUUCUUGUUCUUGGAUUUGAUUUGUGAAUAUAUAUAUGUUAGUGUAAACAACCUUAAGCCGUGGCCUCAGGACCGACGCGGUUUGGUUCAGGUCCGGAUGACGGGGAUCUCCCUGGGACAUUCCUCGAAACUACUGAGGUGGCCGAUUACGGUGGUCCGAUCGGGACGGGGUCGCCGUUUCCUCUGGGCAAGAACUCCUCGCCUGCACGUCCAGUGGGGACCUUCGGCAUCGCAUCUACACAAAGAUCAAGUCGGGGAGCUUGGCCCAACCCUUCCGACAAUCAAGUCAGUGAGUGAUAAAGGGGGUUUCUUGGCUGUCCUCCUCCUCUCGUUUAGAAUGCGAGGGUAUUUAUAGUGAAGCUUACUGUUUCCUGAUGUGCCCACUUGCGGGGGGCAGGCUCGUACUCCUGGUAGCGUCUGACACUGGUAUUAGCGUGGCGUGAAGGACCGAGGCUGAGCAGGAUGUUUAACGUGCCUCGGUCGACGUUCCAAUCCGUUUGACCAGGUGGUGUCAA
rnacentral:lncRNA from 1 species